rnacentral:lncRNA from 1 species
GGUGAAGCGAUUGUUGCACAGUGCCACAGUGAUACUACGAACCAUGUUUAUAUAUAGACAUAAUCAAUGUACAAGAGAUCGAGCAACAUCACCAUGAUAUGGAGUACUACACAGAAAUGGUGCUGCGCAACCAACAAAUAGUACUACUCACAAACGUGUAACCAACCAAGCGAAAAAGGAAAACAAACAACUACUGUACAUGACGUCCGGACUCCACAUCAACCGUGAUGAACAGCAGCAGCACUCGUCAGACCACGUGUCGUAACUGAGCACGGCGGAUAAAAUCGACUUGAUCAGAAGCAGGCGUCGAGGAGGCAGCAGCAGCACAGCGCGGCGCAGCUGCAACAACAGAAGAAGCAGACAAACAUGAUUAAGCAUCUUGAUGAACGAGGCCAUGGAUGGGACGGAUGCGAAGACAGAACUCAGAAAGCCAGAAGGGACGAACAAGACUUACCAGCCUCUCCAGAAGCCGCCGCCGUGGUGGUGUCCGUGUCCGCCGCGGCUCGUGGUGGUGUCGGCGGCGCCGGCGUCAGGAUACUGCUGGUCCCGCUGCGGGUAGCCGGCCGGCGGCGGCGCUACGUAGGCCUGCUGCUGCUGAGGGUAGGCCGUGGCGCUGGCGCCCUGCUGCGGGUAGCCCUGCUGGUAGCUCAUGAUGGGAUUACUGGUGUGUCUUCCUGAAGCGAUCGAGAACAGUAGAGGAGGACGAGUUAAAGAGGCUUUGCUGCAAAGGAGAUGAAGGGAGUGGGUAGUUUUAGGAAGAGUGCUUUGCCGAGCGUCUGCCUUUAUAGCUGCCAUGAACUCGGUUGCUUAGCCGCGUCGGUCGACCUCGGGGGAGAAGAGAAAGCGAAGGGAACAGCUGAACUGCCCUGCCUGCCAUGCCACCGUGCCACGGACGACGCGCUUUCAGGUGUUGCGCUUGCAUGCCACCUCGGGCGUGGUCAUGGUUCUAUUGGCGGUGGGUCUCGUGCGUGGUUGACCGCCAUUGGUCCAACUGGGAGGUCCCGGCUGGUGCACCAGCACCACACCAAGCAGAGGAGCCCAGAGCAGAAAUCCAAGACGCCACGACGUCGUCUCUGUUAAUCACUAAUCAACGCGUGUAAUUAUGCCGGCGGCUCAACCGUGUUGGACUAUACGUACUCCUCCGUCGUGGCAUGCACCGAUUCGUCCAUAUCCUCUGCUCUGCUCUUGGAUGCAGCUGACCAGCUGCGAUUCCUCGAUUUGAUUUGACCAAUGCGGGCCUAGCACGGCGGCCCUCGUCGACCACGAAGAUUCGCCGCAGAUAAGCACAGCGAGGAAGGAAGGAAGGAAGGACGGAACCAUCAGCAGCAGGCUGCAGCCACCGGCCCACGAGAAAGACGCCGCGCCAUUGCCGCGUGGAUUUCUUCAUUUAGUUUAAGGGGAUGCGUCAACCAGUCUCUGUCUGACUGCCUCAAGCAGGCAAGACGACGCGUGUAAGCAAACCGACCGGAUGCCGCGUACGUGCAUGCAUCUCUUCUCUGUAUAAGUAGACAAAUCGAAUGAUGCGGUUUCCACUCCAUCCCGCCCCGUUCUAUCCAUUCCCUUCAUCUUCAUAGCAGCAGAACCUCUUUUCCUCAUCCUCCUCUACUGUUCUUGAUCGCUUCAGAAAGACACAUCAAGUAAUUCGAUCAUGAGCUACCAGCAGGGCUACCCACAGCAGGGCGCCACGGCCUACCCUCCGCCCGGCCAGCAGCAGGCCUACGUCGCGCCGCCGCCGGCUGCGUACCAGCAGGGCCAACAGUACCCUCCUGCCGGCGCCGACACCACCAGCCGCGGCGGGCACGGCCACGGCGGCGAUGGCUUCUUGAAAGGAUGGUAAUUUCCCCCCCUUGUUCUGAAUUCUCACUCGUCUGUCUCGUAGCCACAUUUGUAACAAACUGAUAAUGAUGGUCUGCUUCUUGUGUUGUUGCAGCUGCGCGGCGCUCUGCUGCUGCUGCCUCCUCGACGCCUGCUUCUGAUCGACUUCAUCCCAUGUUGUUGGACCCACACUAUCAGGCGCGGCAUAUAGAUUAUAGAGUAUCGUCAUAUUUUGCUUCUUUCUCGUAACGUGGUACAUGUGUUGAGUACUGUCUCAGAACAAUAUUUCUUGUGUAAUGGUGUGCGUUUUUUUCAUUCGUAUGAUCCAGAUAUAUAGAUAGACAUGUCAGAUUGAUCUGAUGGCCUUACCGAAUGCAUAUUUUCUCGGGGUUCCCUUUUUUGGAUAACUUGCCGCUUUUAUUUACCGAAAUAAUAUCAGCUGACGUUUCAUGGGACCUUUUUCCUUAGCAAACUACUCACUCCGUCCCAUAAACUAGUGUAAAAAAGGCUCUUAUAUUAUGAGACGGAGUGAGUACCUUUUGGCCGUUGGAUUGGAAACACGAAUCUUAAAGCAACUUGAGUGGCCAUGUUAGAGAAACAAACCCGUUCGCCAUCGCAAACCAAACUUCCGCGUUAAAUCCCUACACAGUUGUGACUCCUCUCGAUACCUCCUCCCCCCCCAUUCCCCAUCGCGCCUCGCUAAGAGUGAGUUAGAGAGUAGAGCAGGCCUACCGGCCACCAUUAACCACCUUGCCGCUUGGCCUGGCAUCCGCGCUAUUAAACGCCAGGCCCAUCAGUAGCCGCGCAUUCCAACCUCCUCUGCUCCCUAUCUCCUCUCGACGCCACACCCGUCAUGGCCUCGAGCUCCAGAGCCCUGUGGGCGAGCCUCUUGGACAAACAGAAGAAGAAGAUUGCCGGCAUUACGGCCGGCUGGCAAGCUAGAAGAUGGACGAGCUCUCCGGAUGCCAGCGCAGUAGACCUGCCAAUGAAAGAGGUGGCAAGGCGGCAGCGACAAGCCGGUGCCACGUCCUCGCAGACCGAUGUCGGUGCCAGUGUGGGCGAGGCGCAUGCACACUGCAGACAUGGUGUUGGAAGAGUGGAAGCCACGUUCCGGCAGACGCAGGCGGGCCAGAGGUUAAACCUCCGCCUCCUCGACAAGCACCGGCGUGCGGAGGAGCAACUCGCCGGCACGGGCAUUGUGGAGGACGUGGAUGUGGACGAGCAAGAGGCGCUGCUCCUGUCCUACUGCGCCGGCUGCGACAUCCUUCGUGAGCGAUGGCGGCACCGUGUCUGAUAACCCACAAGUGUAGGGGAUCGCAACAGCUUUCGAGGGUAAAGUAUUCAACCCAAAUUUAUUGAUUCGACACAAGGGGAGCCAAAGAAUAUUCUUGAGUAUUAGCAGUUGAGUUGUCAAUUCAACCACACCUGGAUAACUUAGUAUCUGCAGCAAGGUAUUUAGUAGCAAAGUAGUAUGAUAGUAAUGGUAACAGUAGCAAAAGUAAAGAUAAAUGUUUUUGGGUUUUUGUAGCAGUUGUAACAGUAGCAACGGAAAAGUAAAUAAGCGAAGCACAAGAUGUGAAGAACUCGUAGGCAAUGGAUCAGUGAUGGAUAAUUAUGCCGGAUGCGAUUCCUCAUGUAAUAGCUAUAACAUAUGGUGACACAGAACUAGCUCCAGUUCCUCAAUGUAAUGUAGGCAUGUAUUCCGUAAAUAGUCAUGCGUGCUUAUGGCAAAGAACUUGCAUGACAUCUUUUGUCCUACCCUCCCGUGGCAGCGGGGUCCUAGUGGAAACUAAGGGAUAUUAAGGCCUCCUUUUAAUAGAGAACCGGACCAAAGCAUUAACACAUGGUGAAUACAUGAACUCCUCAAACUACGGUCAUCACCGAGAAGUAUCCCGAUUAUUGUCACUUCGGGGUUGUCGGAUCAUAACACAUAAUAGGUGACUAUAGACUUGCAAGAUAGGAUCAAGAACACACAUAUAUUCAUGAAAACAUAAUAGGUUCAGAUCUGAAAUCAUGGCACCCGGGCCUUAGUGACAAGCAUUAAGCAUAGCAAAGUCAUAGCAACAUCAAUCUCAGAACAUAGUGGAUACUAGGGAUCAAACCCUAAUAAAGCUAACUUGAUUACAUGGUAAAUCUCAUCCAACCCAUCACCGUCCAGCAAGCCUACGAUGGAAUUACUCAUGCACGGCGGUGAGCAUCAUGAAGUUGGUGAUGGAGGAUGGUUGAUGAUGACGACAUCGAUGAAUCCCCCUCUCCAGAGCCCCGAACGGACUCCAGAGCAGCCCUCCCGAGAGAGAUUAGGGCUUGGCGGCGGCUUCGUGCCGUAAAACGCGAUGAAACUUUCUCUCUGAUUUUUUUCUCCGCGAGACGGAAGAUAUAAAGUUGGAGUUGAGGUCGGUGGAGAUCCAGGGGGCCCACGAGAUAGGGGGGCGCGCCCUACAGGGGGGCGCCCCCUGUCUCGUGGACAGGCCCUGGGGCCCCUGAUGUAUUUCUUUCGCCCAGAAAUUCUUAUUAAUUCCAAAAAGUGUCUCCGUGAAUUUUCAAGACAUUCCGAGAACUUUUCUUUUCUACACAUAAAACAACAUCAUGGCAGUUCUGCUGAAAACAGCGUCAGUCUGUGUUAGUUUCAUUCAAAUCAUGCAAGUUAGAGUCCAAAACAAGGGCAAAAGUGUUUGGAAAAGUAGAUAUGUUGGAUACGUAUCAACUUCCCCAAGCUUAAACAUUUGCUUGUCCUCAAGCAAUUCAGUUGAUAAACUGAAAGUGAUAAAGAAAAACUUUUACAAACUCUGUUUGCUCUUGUUGUUGUAAACAUGCAAAGCCAUCAUUCAGGUUUCAACAGUAUUAUGAACUAACCAUACUCACAAUAACACUUAGGUCUCACAAUCACUCAUAUCAAUAACAUAAUCAGCUAGCAAGCCAUAAUAAUAAAACUCGGAUGACAACACUUUCUCAAAACAAUCAUAACAUGAUAUAACAAAAUGGUAUCUCGCUAGCCCUUUCUGAGACCGCAAAACAUAAAUGCAGAGCACCUUUAAAGAUCAAGGACUGACUAAACAUUGUAAUUCAUGGUAAAAGAGAUCCAGUCAAAUCAUACCCAAUAUAAACCAAUAAUAAUAACGCAAAUAACAGUGUGCUCUCCAGCGGGUGCUUUUUAAUAAGAAGGUGAUGACUCAACAUAAAAAUAAAUAGAUUGGCCCUUCACAGAGGGAAGCAGGGAUUUGUAGAGGUGCCAGAGCUCGAUUUUAAAAUAGAGAUUGAAUAACAUUUUGAGCGGCAUACUUUCGCUGUCAACGCAACAACUAUGAGAUGACUGUAUCUUCCAUACUAAAUGCAUUAUAGGUAGUUACCACGCAGAAUGGUAAAAGUUUAUACUCCCCCAACCACCAACAAGCAUCAAUCCAUGGCUUGCUCGAAACAACGAGUGCCUCCAACAAACAACAGCCCUGGGGGAGUUUUGUUUAAUUAUUUUGAUUUGCUUUGAUCUUUUUUGGAUCAUGGGACUGGGCAUCCUGGUUACCGACCCUUUCUCGUGAAUGAGGAGCGGAGUCCACUCCUCUGAAAAUAACCCACCUAGCAUGAAAGAUAUAGGCAGCCCUAGUCGUAACAUGAGCUGCUCGAGCAUACAAAACAGAAUUUCAUUUGAAGGUUUAGAGUUUGGCACAUACUAAUUUACUUGGAAUGGCAGGUAAAUACCACAUAUAGGAAGAUAUAGUGGACUCAUAUGGAACAACUUUGGGGUUUAAGGAGUUUGGAUGCACAAGCAGUAUUCGCGCUUAGUACAGAUGAAGGCUAGCAAAAGACUGGAAAGCGACCAACUGAGAGAGCGACAAUAGUCAUAAACAUGCAUUAAAACUGAUUCACACCGAGUACAAACAUGAGUAGGAUAUAAUCCACCAUGAACAUAAAUAUCGUGAAGGCUAUGUUGAUUUUGUUUCAACUACAUGCGUGAACAUGUGCCAAGUCGAGUCACUCAAUUUAUUCAAAGGAGGAUACCAUCCCAUCAUACCACAUCAUAAUCAUCCUAAUAGCAUGUUGGCACGCAAGGUAAACCAUUAUAACUCAAAGCUAAUCAAGCAUGGCACAAGCAACUAUAAUCUCUAAAUGUUAUUGCAAAUAUGUUUACUUCAUAAUAAGCUGACUCAGAAACGAUGAACUUAUCAUAUUUACAAAAACAAGAGAGGUCGAGUUUAUACCAGCUUUUCUCAUCUCAAUCAGUCCAUCAUAUAUCGUCAUUAUUGCCUUUCACUUGCACGACCGAAUGAUGUGUAAAAUAAUAAGAGUGCACAUGCAUUGGACUAAGCUGGAAUCUGCAAGCAUUCAACUCAAAAGAGAAGACAAGUAAUAUGGGCUCUAAGUUAAAUAAACAAUCAUGCAUAUGAGAGCCACUAAACAUUUUCAAUAUGGUCUUCUCGACCCCCCAAAGGAAAGAAAAGAAAAUAAAACUAUUUACACGGGAAAGCUCCCAACAAGUAAGAAGAAGAACUAGAAAUCAUGGAAAUUAAACUAACUAUUUUUUUUGGUUUUUCUCAAGGUUUAUCAAACACACAAGAAGAAAACUAGAAAAAGGAAUUUAAACUAGCAUGGAUAAUACAAUGAAAGAGUAUGAGCACCGACGUCUAGUGUGUGAACAUGAAUGUAAAGUCGGUGAGAAAUACGUACUCCCCCAAGCUUAGGCUUUUGGCCUAAGUUGGUCUAAUACCAAGGAUCGCUUGGCUGAUAUCCAUAAGUGAAACCGGGGUUGUACUGAGAUUCAGCGGCAACCGCCUCCUGAGCUGCAGCGUGUUGGCGAGCUGCCUCCACUCCCCUCUCGUAUUCAGCUGCUUCCUCCCUGGUGACAACAUAUCUUCCUUUUUCCUGAUAAUCAAAAAGGUAGGGAGCAGGAAGAGUAACAGGGACGACAUUGCGUCUGUCAUAGAUUAGUCGAUAAUGGAGGAAUUGUUCAUUCCUCUCAAGAAAAUGAUGACUAAACAUAGCUUCUUUAUCCAAAUAAACAGGAGGUAUUAUCAUAUCUCCCUCUCGUGGGGCUAUACCAAGAAAAUUAGCCACAUGGGUUGCAUAAAUUCCUCCAAAUAAAUUUCCCUUUCUACUAUUAUUCUACAACCUACACGCAACUAUUGCCCCCCAAGUUAUAACCUUUAAAACCUAACACAACACUCUUGAGGAUACUCAGAUCAGGGACACACAUGUGACAUGCUUGAUCCUUACCGUUAAUACAUCUACCAAUAAAGAGAGCAAAAUAAUAUAUAGCAGGAAAAUGAAUGCUCCCUAUGGUAGCUUGUGCUAUGUCCCUAGAUUCUCCCAUAGUAAUACUAGCAAGAAAAUCUCUAAAUUCAGAUUUGUGAGGAUCAUUAAUAUUACCCCACUGCGGGAGUUUGCAAGCAGUUGUAAAAUCCUCUAAAUCCAUGGUAUAAGAUGUAUCAUAAAUAUCAAAUAUGACACUAGGAGAAUUACGCGUACAGUUAUAUUUAAACCUCCGCACAAAGGAAUCAGUCAAUUGAUAGUACAGAGGACACUUAUCUUGUAAGAAGUCCUCCAUCUCAACAUUACGCACAUACGCGUCAAAUUCCUCCUUAAAGCCCGCUUUGACCAUAAAAUCAUCGGAUAGCCAUUCACAAGCUCGUACAUCCGCGUUCCUUGGCAAUUCAACAUCUUGCUCACGUAUAGCAAUCCUGGGCCCUUUCUUCACCGAGGAACCGCCUUGGUACAUUCUCCUAAGCAUAUUUCUUUUUCUGAAAUAAUUCUGAAAUUUUAGUAACUUCAAAAUAAAAGUGCAUAAAACUAAACAAGAUUGAUAGCAACUACUCCUACAAGUGCCUAGAGCCUACAUCAUGCAUUAGAAUUACUUGGAACCUCAUAAAUUUAAUAUGCAAGCUCAAGAACAAGGUCACCAAGGCAACAAGGAUUGCAAUGAAUGAAGCACUAUAACAAAAACUAAUUGGACCAAUGGAGGAGUCACAUACCAAGCAACAAUCUCCCAAAGCAGUUUUGUGAAUGGAGCUUUGAGCCAAGAGAUCGAAAAUCGCAGCAAAACGAGCUACAACUCGUGCUUGAGCUGGAUGGGGAUUUUUUUGGGUAGAAGAUGAAGUGUGUGGGUGCUGGCAUAAGUGGAGGGGAGCCACCAGGGGCCCACGAGACAGGGGGCGCGCCCUAUAGGGGGGGGGGGCGCCCUCCUCUCUCAUGGCAUGGUUCUUGCCCCUCCUGUAGUAAUUUCAGUGCCUAAAAUCCUCAAAUAUUCCAGAAAAAAUAAUACUAAAUUUGUAGGGCAUUUGGAGCACUUUUAUUUUCGGACUAUUUUUUUAAUGCACGGAUAAAUCGGAAAACAGACAGAUAAUACUAUUUUUGCUUUAUUUAAUCUAGAUAACAGAAAGUAAAAAGAAAGUACAGAAGGUUGUGACUUCUAGUUUCGUCCAUCUCGUGAUCAUCUAAAUGAACCCAAUAACAAGGUUGAUCAAGUCUUGUUAACAAACUCAUUCUGAAUAGCACGAAACCGUAGAAAUUUCAAAGUGACACUAAGUUACCUCAACGGGGAUAUGAAAAUCCCCAACAAUAAGAAUAUCAUACUUUUUCUUGACAGUGGGGAGAGGAAAUUCAAAACCUCCAAUAAUAAUUGAUGGAAUUUUCUCAAUAGUAUUUAUACUAUGAACUUGGAUUUGCUUCCUCGGAAAAUGUACCGUAUGCUCAUUUCUGUUAACAUGAAAGGUGACAUUGCCUUUGUUGUAAUCAAUAACAGCUCCUGCAGUAUUUAAAAAGGUUCUACCAAGAAUAAUAGACAUACUAUCAUCCUCGGGAAUAUCAAGAAUAACAAAGUCUGUUAAGAUAGUAACAUUCGCAACAACAACAUGCACGUCCUCACAAAUGCCGACAGGUAUAGCAGUUGAUUUAUCAGCCAUUUGCAAAGAUAUUUCAGUAGGUGUCAACUUAUUCAAUUCAAGUCUACGAUAUAAGGAAAGAGGCAUAACACUAACACCGGCCCCAAGAUCACAUAAAGCAGUUUUAACAUAAUUUCUUUUAAUAGAGCAAGGUAUAGUGGGUACUCCGGGAUCACCAAGUUUCUUAGGUAUUCCACCCUUAAAGGUAUAGUUGGCAAGCAUGGUGGAAAUCUCAGUUUCAGGUAUUUUCCUCUUAUUAGUGAUCAUAUCUUUCAUAUAUUUAGCAUAAGGGUUUGUUUUAAGCAUAUCAGUUAAGUGCAUGCAUAAGAAAAUAGGUCUAAUCAUUUCAGCAAAACGCUCAAAGUCCUCAUCAUCCUUUGACUUGGAUGGUUUAGGAGGAAAGGGCAUGGGUUUCUGAACCCAUGUUUCUCUUUCUUUACCGUGCUUCCUAGCAACAAAAUCUCUCUUAUCAUAACGUUGAUUCUUUGAUUGUGGGUUAUCAAGAUCAACAGCAGGUUCAAUUUCUAUAUCAUUGUUAUUACUAGGUUGAGCAUCUACAUGAACAUCAUUAUUAACAUUAUCAUCAGGUUCAUGUUCAUCUCCGGAUUGUGUUUCAGCAUGAGAGAUAGAAGUAUUAUUAGGAUUCUCAGGUGUUUCUACAUUAGGUUCACUAGAAGUUUGCAAAGUCCUAUCAUUCUUCUUUUUCUUCUUCUUAGAAGAACUAGGAACAUCUAGAUUAUUAUUCUGAGAAUCUUGUUCAAUUCUUUUAGGGUGGCCUUUAGGAUACAAAGGUUCCUGAGUCAUUCUACCAGUUCUAGUAGCCACUCUAACAGCAAAGUCAUGUUUAUUAUUUAAUUCAGCAAGCAAUUCAUUCUGAGCCUUAAGUACUUGUUCAGCUUGAGUAGCAAUCAUGGAAGCAUGUUUACUAGUGAGUUUAAGUUCACCUUUAACUCUAGCUACAUAAUCAUUCAAGCGUACUAUCGUAUAAGCAUUAUUCUUCAAUUGUCUACCAACAUAAUCAUUGAAAUUUGCUUGUCUAUUCAUGAAAUCAUCAAAUUCAUCUAAGCAAGGGCUAUGAAAUUUAGUAGAUGGGAUUUCAUCUUUAUCACAUCUAUAGAGAGAAUUUACCUUUACUACCUGUGUCGGGUUAUCAAGACAAUAUGGUUCUUCAACAGGUGGUAUAUUAAGACCAUGUAUUUCUUACGUAGGAGGUAAAUUCUUAACAUCUUCAGCUUUAAUACCUUUUUCUUUCAGUGAUUUCUUUGCCUCUUGCAUAUCUUCAGGACUGAGAAAUAAAACACCUCUCUUCUUCGGAGUGGGUUUAGGAAUAGGCUCAGGAAUUGGCUCAAUUGGUUCAAGAAUUUCUUCAGGAAUUGGCUCAGGGAGAGUCCAAUUAUUUUCAUUAGUCAACAUAUUAUUCAAUAAUAUUUCAGCUUCGUCGACUGUUCUUUCCCUGAAAACACAACCAGCACAACUAUCCAAGUAGUCCUUGGAAGCAUCGGUUAGUCCAUUAUAAAAGAUAUCAAGUAUUUCAUUUUUCUUAAGAGGAUGAUCGGGCAAAGCAUUAAGUAAUAGGAGAAGCCUCCCCCAAGCUUGUGGGAGACUCUCUUCUUUGAUUUGCACAAAAUUAUAUAUUCCCCACAAGGCAGCUUGUUUCUUAUGAGCAGGGAAAUAUUUAGCAGAGAAGUAAUAAAUCAUAUCCUGGGGACUAGGCACAAACCAGGAGCAAGAGAAUUAUACCAAGUCUUAGCAUCACCCUUUAAUGAGAACGAAAAUAUCUUAAGGAUAUAAAAAUAGCGAGACUUCUCAUCAUGAGUAAACAGGGUAGCUACAUCAUUCAACUUGGUAAGAUGUGCCACAACAGUUUCAGAUUCAAGGCCAUAAAAAGGAUCAGAUUCAACUAAAGUAAUAAUCUCAGGAUCAACAGAGAAUUCAUAAUCCUUAUCAGUAACACAGAUAGGUGAAGUAGCAAAAGCAGGGUCAGGUUUCAUUCUAGAAUUAAGAGACUGCUGCUUCCAUUUAGCUAAUAAUUUCUUAAUAUCGUAUCUAUCAUUGCAAGCAAAGAUUUCCCUAGCAGCUUCUUCAUUCAUAACAUAACCCUUAGGAACAACAGGCAAUACAGGCAAUACACGUGUAGGGGAUCGCAACAGCUUUCGAGGGUAAAGUAUUCAAUCCAAAUUUAUUGAUUCAACACAAGGGGAGCCAAAGAGUAUUCUUGAGUAUUAGCAGUUGAGUUGUCAAUUCAAUCAAACCUGGAUAACUUAGUACCUGCACCAAGGUAUUUAGUAGCAAAGUAGUAUGAUAGUAAUGGUAACAGUAGCAAAAGUAAAGAUAAAUGUUUUUGGGUUUUUGUAGCAGUUGUAACAGUAGCAACGGAAAAGUAAAUAAGCGAAGCACAAAAUGUGAAGAGCUCAUAGGCAAUGGAUCAGUGAUGGAUAAUUAUGCCGGAUGCGAUUCCUCAUGUAAUAGCUAUAACAUAGGGUGACACAGAACUAGCUCCAGUUCAUCAAUGUAAUGUAGGCAUGUAUUCCGUAAAUAGUCAUACGUGCUUAUGGCAAAGAACUUGCAUGGCAUCUUUUGUCCUACCCUACCGUGGCAGCGGGGUCCUAGUGGAAACUAAGGGAUAUUAAGGCCUCCUUUUAAUAGAGAAUCGAACCAAAGCAUUAACACAUGGUGAAUACAUGAACUCCUCAAACUACGGUCAUCACCGAGAAGUAUCUCGAUUAGUCACUUUGGGGUUGUCGGAUCAUAACACAUAAUAAGUGACUAUAGACUUGCAAGAUAGGAUCAAGAACACACAUAUAUUCAUGAAAACAUAAUAGGUUCAGAUAUGAAAUCAUGGCACUCGGGCCCUAGUGAGAAGCAUUAAGCAUAGCAAAGUCAUAGCAACAUCAAUCUCAGAACAUAGUGGAUACUAGGGAUCAAACCCUAAUAAAACUAACUUGAUUACAUGGUAAAUCUCAUCCAACCCAUCACCGUCCAGCAAGCCUACGAUGGAAUUACUGACGCACGGCGGUGAGCAUCAUGAAAUUGGUGAUGGAGGAUGGUUGAUGAUGACGACGACAACGAAUCCCCCUCUCCGGAGCCCCGAACGGACUCAAGAUCAGCCCUCACGAGAGAGAUUAGGGCUUGGCGGUGGCUCUGUGUCGUAAAACGUGAUGAAACUUCCUCUCUGUUUUUUUCUCCGCGAGACGGAAGAUAUAGAGUUGGAGUUGAGGUCGGUGGAGGUCCAGGGGGCCCACGAGAUAGGGGGCACGCCCUACAUGGGGGGGGGGGGCACCCCCCUGUCUCGUGGACAGGCCCUGAGCCCCCUGGUGUAUUUCUUUCGCCCAGAAAUUCUUAUUAAUUCCAAAAAGUGUCUCCGUGGAUUUUCAGGACAUUCCGAGAACUUUUCUUUUCUACACAUAAAACAACAUCAUGGCAGUUCUGCUGAAAACAGCAUCAGUCCGGGUUUGUUUCAUUCAAAUCAUGCAAGUUAGAGUCCAAAAGAAGGGCAAACGUGUUUGGAAAAGUAGAUACGUUGGAGACGUAUCAGUGUCCUGCUGGCUGGGAAAGAAUCCAUGUACACUAAGAUCAUAGACUAGUUUAGAAUAUGGUUUACAACAACACGGACGAUGUGGCCAGCUCUGUGAUGAAUGCUGGAGAUCAUUUAGACUAGUCUAGAAUAGGGUUUAAUUGAAAUAUGUUGAAAUAUAAUGCAUGUGCUCCGGAAGCAUUUGGUUUUGUAUAGAAAUUAUCCAAGUUUGAAUGAAAUUCGUCUUGUUUGUUUAAAUUUGCAUCAAAAUUGUUUAUUUUCAUUAAAUUUUGUUCAAAAUGUCUCCGGAAAUUUGUGGCAAUGGCUGGAUGGCCAGAUCUCACAUCAAUGUCCAUGAACUGGUUCCCACCAGUCCACGGAUGGAUACGUUGUCUGGUUUAAAGGUCAUUAUUAAAUAAGGCCCUAUCCAAAAGACUAGACCACCAUCCAUGGUCGGAGAAAACCUCCUUAACUCCGUAAGAGCAUUUCUGCCCGAUCCCUUAUAACCAGUAAGAGGAGUAAAAAUUAUGUUUUACUCCUCUAACCGACACCUAGCCGAUCCUUUAUCCGGUGUAAGGGAGUACAUUUUUACUCUGUCCCCAACUUUCUCCCUAAAUUUACUCCACCGCGGGGCGGCUGAGUAAAAUCCAUGCCUCUCCCACGCUUCGCCCCCCGCCCCUGGAAAUUCACCGGUGCGACUCCCGGUGACCGUCCACCGGCCCCGCCGCUACCUCGUUGCCUCCCCUGCCCACGCCACCCUUCUGCUCGACGUCGAGCCCGUUCGGCCCCUGUCGCUGUCGUCGAAAUCAAGGUGAAACGCCGCCAUCGUCGCCAUUGUUACUUCAUCUGGUUGCUUCGUUGCUUCUUCUUUUUUUGUUGGCCGCCGCAUCUCACCUUGAGUGCACACCGCUGCAGGUCAUUCCCUCUCAUCGCCAUCGGCCUGUUUGGUCAGAACGACACUGGGCGGCCGGUGAACCACCACCACACCGCAAGUGUUCGACAAAUCGACUAAGUGAGUUUCUUUGUGAACUGAUCCAUUUGGAUUGAACCUACCCGUUUGAAUUGUAGAUGAAGAGGUUGAGAGAGAUGGCCUUGGAGGACUCAUCGUCAUCCGAAGAGGAAGAAGACGACGAUGACUAUGGCACUGUUUUAGGCAUGAUUUCCAAGAUGAUGUUCGGUGGCAGAGGAGAAGAUCAUUGUUUGACCGCAUACACAUCAACAUUGAUAGAGCGGAGGGUCAUGCCAAGAUCAUGAGAGACUACUUUGUCACAAAGUCAACCUAUCCAGAGAAGUACUUUCUGCGCCGCUUUCGAAUUCGCACAUGUAUUUUUUAUGCCAUCUAUCCACCACGGGCCACCUUAGUAAAAAACUAAUCCACGUCCAAAAGGUAACAAAAACAUUCACUUUGCCCAAUGAUAAGAAGCUGCUAAAGAUGUUGAGAGAGCCAUCAGUGUGCUUCAGAAGCGCUUUGCAAUUGUUUGUGGCCCUACCGAGUAUUGUAGCUCUAGUGUCCUAUGGAGGAUCAUGACUUGUUGCAUCAUAUUGCAUAACAUGAUCAUUGAAGACAAGAGAUAUAUGUUUGAGAACUUUCGGUACAUCACCAACGGGACUCCAGUUGAGCCAGAGUAAUGAUACGAACAUGAUCUUGCCAUUCCUUGAAGAGCAUCACAAGUUCGACAACUGUCAAGUUCAUGCUCAGCUCCAACAAGAUUGUGUUGAGCAUCACUGGCAACGUCUUAGCGAGUCCUAAUUGUUCUAUCACAUGCUAUUUUCUAUAUUUCAACAAUUCGGUGUGUUUAAGUUUGAAUAAUUUGGUUUAUAAACUUUGAAUUCGGUUUGUAAACUAUAUUUGUGAUUUGCUUGAACAUUCAAAUUUAUGUUUAGUUUCUAUAUGUGUACUGAUAUGUAGUUGCAAUUUAUACUAGAAUUGAAAAGUUUAGAAGAAAAAAUAAAAAAAAUACUCUGUUAUAUAUAGGGGAUCGGUUAGGUCCGGCCAAAAAUUAGUGGAGUAAAUAUACUCCACUAAGGGGUUAUUCCACCGGAUACUCCAUUAUUUUCAAGGGGAUCGGUUAGAAAUGACUUUAGCUCUAAACAGGUGGAGGGGCGGAGAUCAUCGUAAUAAAGUCCAUGCCCUCCGGUAUCAUAAUUUGUUAGCUUGUUUGUUAAGUCUUACUAGACCCUAGCAUAAUCCUCCUGCUAGAAUUCAACAAAAGCUGCUUGCUUUUGUUGAAGGAAUGCUGGUGCUCAAGAAAAGGAGUCUAUGAAGUUGAAACGCUGCAAUGACGCUUUACAAUCAUUCUGUUUUUGUAACCGUGAACAGAAACAAUCAUUCUGUUUUUCAUAAGCGUAGGGCUCGUGGUGGUGUCGGCACCACCGGCGUUAGGAUACUGCUGGUCCCACUGCGGGUAGCCCACCGGCGGCGGUGCUACGUAGGCCUGCUGCUGCUAGCCCGAUGGAGGGUAGGCCAUGGCACUGGCGCCCUGCUGCGGGUAGCCCUACUGGUAGCUCACGAUGGAAUUACUGAUGUGUCUUCCUAAAGCGAUCAAGAACAGUAGAGGAGGAUGGGCAAAAGAGGCUUUGCUGCUAUGAAGAUGAAGGGAAUGGGUGGGAUUAGGAAGAGUGCUUUGCCGAGCGUCUGCCUUUAUAAGGGCUGCAUACACACGGUUUUGCUUAACCGCGUCGGUCGACCUGGGGGGAGAAGAAGAGAAAGCGAAAGGGAACAACAUGCAUCUAGUGUAUUAAGUUCAUGGAAAAAUGGAGUAAUGCAAUAAGAACGAUGACAUGAUGUAGACAAGAUCUAUUUAUGUAGAAAUAGACCCCAUCUUGUUAUCCUUAAUAGCAACAAUACAUACAUGUCGUUUCCCUUUCUGUCACUGGGAUCAAGCACCGUAAGAUCAAACUCAUCACAAAGCACCUCUUCCCAUUGCAAGAUAAAUAGAUCAAGUUGGACAAACAAAACCCAAAUAUCAGAGAAGAAAUACGAGGCUAUAAUCAAUUAUGCAUAUAAGAUAUCAAAGAAGACUCAAAUAACUUUCAUGGAUGAAAACAUAGAUCUGAUCAUAAACUCAAAGUUCAUCAGAUCCCAACAAACACAUCGCAAAAAGACUUACAUCAUAUGGAUCUCCAAGAGACCAUUGUAUUGAUAAUCAAGAGAGAGAGAGGAAGCCAUCUAGCUACUAACUACGGACCCGCAGGUCUACAAAGAACUACUCACGCAUAUACCUGGCCAUACCUCGGGCCGGGUCGGGCUUCGGGCCGCGCCUAGCCAAGCUCGAUGCAAAAACCCAGGCCCGGGCCCGUCCCAUCCCGGCCAUUGGGCCUGUUUUCUAGGCCCAAGCCCGGCCUGACCUUCAGAAAAAUGGAAAAAUGAAGGGCCCGGCCCCGGCCCGGCCUUCAGGCUCAAAAUCUAGGCCUGAGCCCGGCCUGCGCACAGCGUCGGGCCGGUCCGGGUCGGGCUUUUACGGGCCGGGUCGGGUCGGGCUUCCCAUGGCCAGGUAUACUCACGCAUCAUCGGAGAGGCACCAAUGGAAUUGGUGAACCCCUCCGUGAUGGUUUCUAUAUUGUAUCUGGUGGUUCUGGACUCUGCAACGGCUGGAAUUGAUUUUCGUCGACUCCCCUAGGGUUUCUGAAGUAUUGGGGUAUUUAUAGAGCAAAGACGAGGUUCAGGGGGCACCCGAGGUGGGCACAACGCACCAGGGCAUGCCUGGGCCUCCUGGCGCGCCCUGGUGGGUGUUGCUUCCCUCGAGGCACCCCUAGGUGCUUCCUUGGCCCACUGGAUGUCUUCUGGCCCAAAACAAUCCUCCAGGAGUUUUGCUGCGUUUGGACUCUAUUUGAUAUUGAUUUCGUGCAAUGUAAAAAACAUGCAGAAAACAACAACUGGCACUAGGCAGUAUGUCAAUAGGUUAGGACCAAAAAUGAUAUAAAUUGACUAUAAAAUAAUUGCAAAACAUCCAAGAAUGAUAAUAUAAUAGCUUGAAACAAUAAAAAAUUAUAGAUACGUUUGAGACGUAUCAUCCAGCUCCAUGCCAAUUUGCUCCACAUUUCUCAGCACCGGGUGACUAUUGUGUGGGCUAGCCCCCACAAGAAAUGGUGAACUUUCCCCGGGCACCGCACGCUCUUUAGAGAUUGGUCCACAUUUUUCGGUCCACCAACACACCCACAGAGCUCUCACCAAGUGGAUGGUUUCUAUGGCGCCAUUGUAGCUCACAGUGAAUUCGGUAUGCUGAACGAACCGAGAAGAGACGCUUGCAGUCGAACUGCCAAGCUACAAAAUCCUCACACUGCUCAUAGAUUGGAAUUUUCAGUAAUAUGUCGGCUUCUGCAUGGUUAAAAGUCUGUCUAAUGAGUUGGGCAUCCCAUGUAUGGUACAUGGGGGUCUAUCAGCUCUGAUACUCGCGUCAGCGACGUACUACCUCUACGGGAUCUUGGGAAACAAACUGCCCAAGUAGGGACCAGGGGUCCUCCCAAAUUUGAAUCUAAUCGCCACUACCGACCCGCCAAACCAUGUCCUCCAUGAUUACAGCCAGACCUUGGAGUAUACUACGUGAUACAUAAUUGAUCCCUGGUGAGGACAUUGCAGAUAGGAGGUCACCGUCAGGGUAGUACUUGGCAUGAAGUACUUGGCACGCAGUACUUGGCACACAAUGAGCCAGGUGCUUGGAGUAGCCGCCAAACUUCCCGUGAUAGCAUCGCUAUGUUAAAAACAUGGAGGUCCCAGAAACCUAGGCCACCUUCUUCCUUUGGAAGCGCCAUCUUCUCCCAGCCUACCCAAUGGUGUUUGGGUUCACCAUCUUGCCGAGCUCACCAGAAUCGACAUAUCAUGUGGCUUAUGCUCUCACACAAAGACUUUGUCAAAUCAAAACAAGACAUAGCCUAGGCUGGAAUUGCUUGUGCCAUAGUUUUAAUCAAGGUCUCAUUCUCCUUUUUUUGACAAUAGAUUCACCUUAUACCCCUGCAACAUCUCCCAAAUUUUGUCCCCGAUAUAUUCCAAGCCAAUCUACCUUCACUUUUCCGCAUAGCUUUGAAGACUAAAGUAUUUUCCCUAUUGUCUUUCCCGCUGCAAUCCUAGUAGAAGUAACAGCUGCUCCUUCCUCUGACAUGGGAUAUUCUUACUAAAAAGAAUUGUUGAUUUAUCCCAAUUAAUGGUCUGCCUCGAGCCCUUCUCAUACAUCGCAAGGAUAUCAUUAACUGUACUCACACUAUCCUCUGUGGCCUCCAUCAAUAGGAGUGAGUCAUCCGCGAAUAAGAAGAUGCGUAACCAGGGGCGCCUCCGGACACACCUUGAUGCCCCUUAUUUUGCCUAUAGUUUCAGCAUGAUUGAUCAAGCAGAGAGUCCUUCGGCAUAGAUAAGGAAAAGGUAAGGCAAUAUGGGAUCUCCCUAUCUCAACCCACGUCCUGGAAUCACCAUGUUCGUGCAUGAGUCAUUUAUCUUAAAUCUAAAAUGGACUGUACUGAUACACUUGUUGAUGAGAUUCACGAAGCCUUGUGCGAAACCAAGCUGGUUCAUAAUUUUCUCUAAGAAAGACCACUCCACCCGAUCAUAGGCCUUACUCAUAUCCAGUUUAAGAGCAGCAAAACUCGAGGCUCCCGAUCUCUUCCACUUCAGAAAGUGGGUCAUUUCAUAGGCCAAAAUGGUAUUGUCUGAUACGAGCCUGCCGGGACGAAAGCACUCUAGUUUGGUGAGAUAAUUUCACCAAUUAUGCAUUUUAGCCGGUUGGCAAACACGUUAGACACGAGCUUGUAGACAACCUUAGAAAGGCUAAUCAGGUGAAGAUCUUUUAGUCUUUUAGGUUUUCGAACCUUUGGGAUCAACACGACUGGGGUGUUGUUCCAUCCCUUCGGUAUACUUCCGCCUUGUAACACCUGCAACACCUCGCAAACCACAUCAUCGCCAAUAAGCUGCCAACAGUGCUUAUAGAAAAUAGCCGGUAAGUCAUCCAUCCCAGGUGCCUUUAGGUCCCUAGUGAUAUCUAGGGCAGCACUAACUUCUUCCGCUAUGAAUUCCACCAUUAGUUUUAACUGUAGCAUUGAAAAUGUGUUUUUGUUAGCAAGUGUUUGUGAUGUGCAAAAUGAAAUCGGGCAAUGAAACAAGCUGAUUUUUGUUGUUGUGUGUUUGUGUAUGAUGUUGAAUAUGUAUGCUAAUUUUCAUGCCAAAUGGAUGAGUGUGGAGGGAAAAAUGUUGUGGUCAAAUGGUGUGAUGGAAAUUGAUGAAAUUUGGUGGCAAUGGUACUUUGUCAUGGCAGAUCACCAUGAAAAAUUUGAGCUUAAAUGGAUGGAUGCAAUAUGUACUUCCUUCAGAAUAUGGUGAUGUGGAUGCAAUCUUUGGAAAAUUGUGGGGAGUUGUGUUGGGUGUUUGAUGAUCAAAAUUUGUGGAUAGGCAUGAUAUGGGUGGAUGAUGAUGUAUGCAAAAUUUCAGCAUCAUAGAUAGGGCACAAUGCACUUGCUCCACAAAUCAAUAGAUCUAGCAGAAACCUAGAUGAAUUGUUCUGGUGAAAUUUUGAUUUAAGUGUGUGGAUUUUAAGAUAGAAAUGUUGAAGAUAUUUGUAGGAUAAGUUUUUUUGGUGAUUUUUGAUGCAAGUGAAAUUAGUGGUCUAGUGCAAUUGUGGCCUUAGAGUUUAAAUAAAAAGAAAAGCAAUUAAGGUUUUGGAGGAAAAACCCUAAUUUGAAGUAACUAGGCAAGUCACUUACUCUCACAUAAACACAAAAGCUCAAAUAAAAUGCAAGAACACCAAAAUAAAAAGAUAGAAGCCAAAUUAGGAAAAGAAUAUUCUAGGGCUGGAAAUCUAGGGUGUUACAGAACUGGAGGUCAACAGCCGCGACCAGUGAUGUGCUUUCUGCAACAGGUGAUUUUUCUUUUGUUGAAUCAAUGACUACCGUUGCUACGACUGACGGAUGACCACAACAGCGACAUGGGUGCUGCAAUCGGCAUCCCGAUUGCUGGAACCAUGGCGUCAUUUUGCUGGAACUGACGAGUUAGUUUACUACAACCGAUGAUGCAAAACAUUGUGAGCUACACGGUGAGCUACAACCCGCAGCGACGAUAAUGAAUUUUUUGUCGCAACCAUCGUCUCUGUUUGCCACGAUCGACAAUGAUAACCGUAGCCGUAGUCGGUGGCCAUGUUUUGUGAACUGCACAAUGAGGUACAACCGGCGGAGAUGACAGUGACAAUUUUUGUUGAAACCUUCACCUUCAUUUGCUACGGCCGGUACUGAAAUUCCUCGGUGGCGACGCGAGAUGGCAAGUGCGACAGUUGAGGGUGAGCGGUCGUUGUGUGAUGUGGCCGACAUUGGCAGACGAGUGGGGAGGAGAGAUCCUUCCUGAUUUUCUGUGCGCGUGCAAGGGAAGAGGAAGAUGACGAUGACGCCCCAAUCCGCUUCAAUUGGGUUGUUGAUGCGCGCUUGAUCUGACACUCUCAACCGGCUGAAAGUUUGGGCCGGCUUACCAGCACCUAGCGUUGCCCAUAAAAAGCCUAAAUGCAAAUAGCGCAGCAUAGUAAAACCCCAUGUAACUGAAUGACGCCAGUCGUCGACUAAGCGCUAGUCAUACCCAAACAUUUAUUUAUUUAUUACAAAACUACAGAUGUCACAAGGAGAGUUCCAUGGUACAUAUUCAGGAUUUCCUCAAGCAUUUCCUCGAAAAAUCCAAAAAGUGUUGUGGGACAACCCUAAUUACAUCCUAUUGAGGAUGAUUAAUUGGGAAGCUGCUGCAGCUGCUCUUAUGCGCGACCUUAAUUGAUGUGGGGUGAACCUCGAGACGAGGGUCGGUCCGUUGUUGACCCGAUCUUUCACGGCACAAACCUUCAUUGUAGCAAAAACUCAUUGCGGGUUUACGAAAUUUUUUGCAAACUCCGCAUAAAAAACACGCUAACCCCUCAAUCCGAAGGAAUAAUGUGGACGGAAUGUAUAGGCUCAGCUUGUAAUCUCCUACACAUCACAGGAACUCACAUGUCAGUAGAGAUUUUUGACAAGGUUUCUAUAAAGUCGAUAAUGCCCGAUGGCCGAAAAACACACAUGUGUCUAAUUCAUCUCAAAAUAACCUACCUGUACCUUUGUACCUGGUCGGCUUAUCAUGGAUAAUGUUCUGGUCGCAUAUGAGUGUGUACAUGCUAUUUGGAUGAGGAGGAGGAGGAAGCCGUUAUGCGCGGUUAAGCUAGAUAUGAUGAAGGCUUACGAUAGAGCGGAGUGGAUAUUUCUGGAGAGGGUGUUGGCGAGGUUUGGUUUUCAUGCAACAUGGAUUCAAAUGGUGAUGAGAUGCGUGACAUCGUCAAGGUUCGCGGUGAAGCUUAAUGGAGGGAUCUCGGAUCUUUUCCUGCCGACUAGGGGACUCAGGCAAGGUGACCCUCUAUCGCCUUAUUUAUUCUUGUUCCGUGUGGAGGAUUUCUCGGCACUGCUUAAGAAUGCAUAACGUUCCGGCGGUAUUAAGGGGGUGUCUUUUGGGAGCACUGGCCCCAUGGUCACCCACCUCCUCUUUGCGGAUGAUAGCAUCGUGUUUCUUGAAGGAUCUGGUAGUAAUCUUCUUGUCCUUAAAGCAAUCCUUGGGGAAUAUGAGAUGGCAUCUGGACAGAAAGUUAAUUUGCAGAAAUCGUCCAUUUUCUUUGGCAAAGGAAGCACAAAAGAUUCUAAAGAACAUCCAAAGGCAGUGAUCGGGAUUACGUCCGAGGCCCUAAGCGAGAAAUAUUUGGGGCUGCCCACAGCUAUGGGAAAAUCCAAGGAGGGAACGUUUAAAUACGCACGGGAAAGUGCUAAGGGUAAGGUCACGGGGUGGAAGGGGCAAGGAAUAUCUAAGAAGGCGCGGGAGGUUUUGGUCAAAUCGGGGCUCCAGUCUACCCCCAUGUUCACCAUGAGUUGCUUUCAGCUCACCAAGAAAUUGUGCGGGAACCUCACAUCUAUCUCUUCUAACUUUUGGUGGGGUGAAGCUAAUGGUGAGAAAAAGGUUCACUGGAUUGCUUGGAAGAAAAUGUGUGUUAGUAAGUAGGAGGGAGGGAUGGGAUUUCGUGAUAUGGAAGCGUUCAACCAGGCCUUACUUGCCAAGCAGGCAUGGAGACUACUUCAGGUCCCUUCUUCUCUUUGCGCUCGAGUCCUCAAAGCGCGCUACUAUGAGCAUGGUUCUAUCCUUAAUGCCACCUGCCCCGGCGGCGCGUCAUAUACUUUCAGGAGUAUUUUGCAUGGCAAGAACUUGCUCUUGGAUGAUCUGAUAUGUUGGGUGGGUGAUGGAUCUUCAAUCCGGAUCCAUCAUGAUAAUUGGAUCCCUUGGAAGGGUAGCCUAAGGCCACUGGGCCAGGUGUAUGUGCCUGGGACGAUGAGGGUGAGCGACUUGCUAAAUGAUGCAGCUUCAGGGUGGGAUCGACACAAGCUAGAAGUGAUGUUUACAGAGGGUGACAUACAUGAUAUAAUGUAGAUCUAUGUGGGAGGAAUGGGUACUGAUGACAUACUAGCCUGGAAUUUUUUGAAGAAUGGGAUUUUCUCAGUUAAAUCAGAUUAUCACUUAUGCAUGGAGAAGAAGAGGGCGAGUACUGGACAGCCGAGCUCGUCCCCUAAUGCGGUGAACCAUCGAAGUUGGCUGGCGUUAUGGGGCACAAACGCGCCUGGGAAGGCGUUAAUUCAUGUGUGGCGGCUGAUCAGGAAUGGCUUGGCGGUGGGUUCAGAACUUUUUCGGAGAAAGAUCAAGCCUGGUGUUUUUUGCCUAGCGUGUGGACGUGAAGUAACAGUGUAUCACAUAUUUUGGGGGUGCUAUCAUUCCAUGCUGUUUUUGAUGAGGACAUCAAUACCAUUGUUACACCCACAGCCCCUGCUGCUAUACAUACUGGACCAAUUACUAGAGCUCGCGCACGCCAACUAAAUUACCAGGUACUUUCAUUUCUUGGUAAUGAUUCUAAUGUUCAUGAGAAUAUGAUGCUGCCUAAAUUGGAUACAUUUGUUUUGCUUACAAAUGAAGGGCCUAGCUUGGAGAAGGAUGAACAUUGGAGCAAGAACAAGCAUGGAGAUGAUGGCAUGCGCAAGGGGAACAAGAACAGAGUUACAAGUGAUGAUUUCAGGUCUUUGAAGCCACCAUAACGAGUGCAUGAAGCCUUGGACAAAAUAUACAAGAUGUCACUUCAUAAAUUUCGUCCAGAGGCUAUUAUAGGUGCUGCGUCACCUUUUUAUUGGGCCAGGCCCAUGUAAUUUCAAAAUACAUAAGUAUAGGCUAUUUUUAGAGUCCGUAUGUGUGGGGAAACAAGAGAUAGGGUUGAUUUUGGACCCCUCCACCAAGGGCCACGAAAUUCCCCCUCUCUUCCUCCAUAUAUACAGCCCUUAGGGCACCGUUUAGACUUUGGGUUUUGUUUAGAUUAAAGUUCGCCAUAGCUGCAACUUCGCGUACUUCGUUUGUGUUCAACGACCAGACAAAGGCGUCACAGAACCCCACCUUGAUCAAUAAAGCUUUCAUCUUAUAUUCGCAAUAUCCAAAUUGCAAUCUUAGUUUCUUGCUUGUUCUUCAUUUGCUCGCAGGAAACAGACCCUCGUGGUCAGGUUGAUCGUGCUCCGGCGUGGUCAAUAACCUCUCGAAGUUGGUUUAGCGAUUGCUAAGGCGCGACGUCCUCGCACGUUCGUAGUCGGAUCGUCAAAGUCGACUUCCACCAAAGCGAUAUCCAUCAUCUCAUCGAAAGACGGGACACCUUUGCCUUUAUCAAGUGGUAUCAGAUUUCCAGGUUUCUCGGUGAGAUUUUACAGUUUUUCGUAGUUUAGAUUGAGUCUGUUCUUCAUACCUACAGUCCACAAAAAAGCCACAAAAAAAAUUAGGGUUAGUUCAUCAUAUCCGAACCAAUCUGAGCCUUUGCAUAAUCUUUUUAGGGUUUUGCUUUGUUGAAUUUGCGGUUGCAUCGUCGUGUCUAGUUGCUGGUCUUAGAGUCUAGUCUUUUAGAGUUUCGAGUUCUGGUCAUAAGUUGUCACGCCGCCGCCGCACCAUCAUCAUCGCCCCUGCCAUCUACCACCACCGCUUAUCCGCCACCGCUUCGAAUCCGUAUCCAUAUACCACCACCGCUGUCAUCUACCACCACCGCUGCCAUCUACCACCAUAUAUCCACCACCAAUCCGAGUUCUUGUCAUAUUUGGUUUGUUUUCGAGAUCCAUCUAGAUUCUGAUUCGUGUUUCCUUGCCGGAGUAGGUUUCGAAAAAAAAGAGUCCGGAAACCACCCUCUGUUUAGGCCCAAAAUUUUUCGAAAACGCAUUUUUCGAAAAAAUUUCUGGCUAUCCUAUUUUUAGGUGUUUCUGAGUGUUUUGAGAUAGGUGCCAUUAUAGGAAGUUUUUUUUGAUCCGUUUCCAGUUUUUGGGUCCGGGCAGUCAAAAAAAAAAAUUGGUCGAAAAAAUUUCGUGCCCAUCCUGCCAGUUUGACCUAGGAAGAGUUUUGAGACACUCGCCAUUAUAGUGAUUUUUCACAAUAAUAAUAAUAAUAAUAAUAAUAAAACAACGCAAAAAAAAAGAGCGAAAAAAAUCCAGAGUGUGCUUUUCCCUUGUUUACGUGCCGCGCCGUGAUUUUGUUGGUGUUCUAGGCUCGCGUCUCUAGCACAGUCUAGCCUAGGACCGGCACAGUACCGUCGUUGAGCGUUUAUUCAACUUUGCAUCUUUGAAUUGAUUAUUGCUGACCCUUUUUGCUACCAUAUUAUAAGCCUUCCCAGCUCCACAUACAUCUACGUCGUGCGUUUGACUCUCCCUGGUAAUCGCUCUAUCCAAGCUUUGAGAGUUUUUGACUACAACGGUUGCCGAUCAUCGCCUGCUGCUGAGUAAGAACUGGUAAGAAUUUGAGAUUUGCUUGACGGUUUUGUGACACCCACCACCACCUCUUGUUAGUAGUCUGUAGGAUCAUAUUCUUGUGUGUUUCUAUUGCUGCUAACCAUGCCAGGAUCACAAGCCGACGAGACUGACUGGGAGAACAUGACGAAUAAGGAUUUGCAUGAUAAAUUUCAGCAAAUGAUGAGUGGACAGGUGCAAGAUGUGCUAAACAGAUUUGAAGAGGCCAUGGAGAAGAUAGAUGGCAUGGAGAAGAAGUUCGAAACAAAGCUCGAUAACAAGUUUAAUGAAUUGCUCACGCGUCUUCCACCACCACCACCCGCUGCACCUAACGCACCUCUCCAACAACAACAACAACGACUACCUCCACGUCGCGAAACAGACCUCCGCCGAGCGAGCCGUGUUCCUCUUGCGUUUGGCCAAACUGUUGGUGCUGCUGUUGAUACUUCUGUGGCUCCUGCUGCUGAUGCGGAGGAGGAUGAUUAUGUGGGAGAUUACGAGGAUGAGGUUGCUCAAAAUCAGAACUACGUGCAACCACCUGCACCACAACCACCAGGUCGUCCACAUGCAAAUAAUCACAAUGGUAGGGCUUUCCCUCAGGUACGAGAUCAUGACCAUCUUCCUAAAAUGAAAUUGAAUAUUCCACCUUUCGAGGGUAGAUAUGUUCCUGAUAUAUAUCUUACUUGGGAGUUAGAAACUGAACAACGAUUUACAUGUUUACAAUAUCCCGAGGAGAGACGGGUUGCCGCUGCUGUUUGUGCUUUCACUAGUUUUGCAUGUGUAUGGUGGUCUGAACAUUGUAGAUUAUAUCCUAUUCCAACUACUUGGGCUGCUUUGAAAACUGCUAUGCGUACUCGUUGGGUUCCACCAUAUUAUCAACGUGAAUUGCUUCAAAAAUUACAGCGCUUAAGACAAGGAAAAAAUUCUGUAGAAGAAUAUUAUCAGGAAUUACAAACUGGCAUGAUUAGAUGUGGUAUUGUUGAGGAGAAUGAAGCUAUGCUUGCAUGUUUUCUGGGUGGAUUAAAUAGAGAGAUUCAGACCAUUCUAGACUAUAAGGAGUAUACUAAUAUCACUCAUUUAUUCCAUCUUGCUUGUAAAGCUGAACAUGAAGUGCAGGAUUGACAAGCAUUGGUAACUUUUCUGCAGGCUGACCUUCAUCAUGGACACCGCGUGCAUCUUCUACUUCAACUGCACCAGCACCUCAAUCAGGUGCCUCCUCCAGUCGUGAUACAAGAAAACAGGCACAACCACCAUUAUCUGCCAAGAGCGCACCUGCUGGGUCUGCACAGAGUUCUUCUUCUUCCAUGGCAUCAACAGGGCACACAAGUGAUAUUAUUUGUCGUCGUUGUAAGGGAGGAGGUCAUUAUGCGAGAGAAUGCAAAUCUCCGUGUGUGAUGAUUGCUACCGCGGAUGGUGGAUAUGAGUCCGCUAGUGACUAUGAUGAGGAGACUUUGGCUCUUAUUACACGUGAAGAACAUGGUGGAGAUGAUUCUGAUCAUUAGACGCAAUACAUGGCUCCUGAAGACGCUGACAGGUAUGAAUGUUUAGUUGCUCAACGUGUUUUGAGUGUGCAGGUCACACAAGCUGUUGGGUUUCGUAGUAAUUUCAAAAAUUUUCCUACGCGCACACAGGAUCAUGUGAUGCAUAGCAACGAGAGGAGAGUGUUGUCUACGUACCCAACACAGACCGACUGCGGAAGCGAUGACACGACGUAGAGGAAGUAGUCGUACGUCUUCACGAUCCAACCGAUCAAGCACCAAAACUACGGCACCUCCGAGUUCGAGCACACGUUCAGCUCGAUGACGAUCCCCGGACUCCGAUCCAGCAAAGUGUCGGGGAAGAGUUUCAUCAGCACGACGGCGUGGUGACGAUCUUGAUGAACUACAGCAGCAGGGCUUCGCCUAAACUCCGCUACAGUAUUAUCGAGGAAUAUGGUGGCAGGGGGCACCGCACACGGCUAAGGAAUCGAUCACGAGGAUCAACUUGUGUCAACUUGUGUGUUUAGAGGUGCCCCUGCCUCCGUAUAUAAAGGAGCCAAGGGGGAAGGGGGCGCCGGCCAAGAGGGAGAGGUGCAGGAGGAGUCCUACUCCUACCGGGAGUAGGACUCCCCCCCCAAUCCUAUUCCAACUAGGAUUCCCAAGGGGGAAAGAGGGAGAGGGGUGGCCGGCCACCUCUCCUAGUCCUAAUAGGACUAGGGGAAGGGGGGAGGCGCGCAGCCCCCUUGGGCUGCCCCUUUCUCCUUUCCACUAAGGCCCAUGAUGGCCCAUAUGGCUCCCGGGGGGUUCCGGUAACCUCCCGGUAACCCGGUAAAAUCCCGAUUUCACUCGGAACACUUCCGAUGUCCAAACAUAGACUUCCAAUAUAUCAAUCUUUAUGUCUCGACCAUUUCGAGACUCCUCGUCAUGUCCGUGAUCACAUCCGGGACUCCGAACAACCUUCGGUACAUCAAAAUGCAUAAACUCAUAAUAUAACUGUCAUCGUAACCUUAAGCGUGCGGACCCUACGGGUUCGAGAACAAUGUAGACAUGACCGAGACACGUCUCUGGUCAAUAACCAAUAGCGGGACCUGGAUGCCCAUAUUGGCUCCUACAUAUUCUACGAAGAUCUUUAUCGGUCAGACCGCAUAACAACAUACGUUGGUCCCUUUGUCAUCGGUAUGUUACUUGCCCGAGAUUCGAUCGUCGGUAUCCAAUACCUAGUUCAAUCUCGUUACCGGCAAGUCUCUUUACUCGUUCCGUAAUACAUCAUCUCACAACUAACAUAUUAGUUGUAAUGCUUGCAAGGCUUAUGUGAUGUGUAUUACCGAGAGGGCCCAGAGAUACCUCUCCGACAAUCGGAGUGACAAAUCCUAAUCUCGAAAUACGCCAACCCAACAUCGACCAUUGGAGACACCUGUAGUACUCCUUUAUAAUCACCCAGUUACGUUGUGACGUUUGGUAGUACCCAAAGUGUUCCUCCGGUAAACGGGAGUUGCAUAAUCUCAUAGUCAUAGGAACAUGUAUAAGUCAUGAAGAAAGCAAUAGCAACAUACUAAACGACCAGGUGCUAAGCUAAUGGAAUGGGUCAUGUCAAUCAGAUCAUUCAACUAAUGAUGUGACCUCGUUAAUCAAAUAACAACUCAUUGUUCAUGGUCAGGAAACAUAACCAUCUUUGAUUAACGAGCUAGUCAAGUAGAGGCAUACUAGUGACACUCUAUUUGUCUAUGUAUUCACACAUGUAUUAUGUUUCCGGUUAAUACAAUUCUAGCAUGAAUAAUAAACAUUUAUCAUGAUAUAAGGAAAUAAAUAAUAACUUUAUUAUUGCCUCUAGGGCAUAUUUCCUUCAGUCUCCCACUUGCACUAGAGUCAAUAAUCUAGUUCGCAUCGCCAUGUGAUUUAACAGCAAUAGUUCACAUCACCAUGUGAUUAACACCCAUAGUUCACAUCGCUAUGUGACCAACACCCAAAAGGUUUACUAGAUUCAGUAAUCUAGUUCACAUCGCUAUGUGAUUAACACCCAAGGAGUACUAAGGUGUGAUCAUGUUUUGCUUGUGAGAGAAUCUUAGUCAACGGGUCUGCCACAUUCAGAUCCUCAUGUAUUUUGCAAAUUUCUAUGUCAACAAUGCUCUGCAUGGAGCUACUCUAGCUAAUUGCUCCCACUUUCAAUAUGUAUCUAGAUCGAGACUUAGAGUCAUCUAGAUUAGUGCCAAACUUGCAUCGGCGUAACCCUUUACGACGAACCUUUUUCCAUAAUCGAGAAACAUAUCCUUAUUCCACUAAGGACAAUUUUGACCGCUCUCCAGUGAUCUACUCCUAGAUCACUAUUGUACUCCCUUGCCAAACUCAGUGGUAUGGCAUACAAUAGAUCUGGUAUACAGCAUGGCAUACUUUAUAGAACCUAUGACUGAGGCAUAGGGAAUGACUUUCAUUCUCUUUCUAUUUUCUGCCGUGGUCGGGCUUUGAGUCUUACUCAACUUCACACCUUGCAACACAGGCAAGAACUCCUUCUUUGACUGUUCCAUUUUGAACUAUUUCAAAAAUUUAUCAAGGUAUGUAUUCAUUGAAAAAUCUUAUCAAGCGUCUUCAUCUAUCUAUAUAGAUCUUGAUGCUCAAUGUGUAAGCAGCUUCACCAAGGUCUUUCUUUGACAAACUUUUAUUCAAGUAUCCUUUCAUGCUUUGUAGAAUAAUUCUACAUUAUUUCCGAUCAACAAUAUGUCAUUCACAUAUACUUAUCAGAAAUGUUGUAGUGCUCCCACUCACUUUCUUGUAAAUACAGGCUUCACCGUAAGUCUGUACAAAAACUAUAUGCUUUGAUCAACUUAUCAAAGCGUAUAUUCCAACUCCGAGAUUCUUGCACCAGUCCAUAAAUGGACCGCUGAAGCUUGCACACUUUGUUAGCUCCCUUUGGAUCGACAAAACCUUCCGGUUGCAUCAUAUACAACUCUUCUUCCAGAAAUCCAUUCAGGAAUGCAGUUUUGACAUCCAUCUGCCAAAUUUCAUAAUCAUAAAAUGCGGCAAUUGCUAACAUGAUUCGGACAGACUUUUAAGCAUCGAUACGAGUAAGAAAAUCUCAUCGUAUUCAACACCUUGAACUUUGUCAAAAACCUUUUUCGACAAGUCUAGCUUUGUAGAUAGUAACACUACUAUCAACGUCCGUCUUCCUCUUGAAGAUCCAUUUAUUCUUAAUGACUCACCGAUCAUCGGGCAAGUCAAUCAAAGUCUACACUUUGUUCUCAUACAUGGAUCAUAUCUCAGAUUUCAUGGCCUCAAGCCAUUUCGUGGAAUCUGGGCUCAUCAUUGCUUCCUCAUAGUUCGUAGGUUCAUCAUGGUCUAGUAACAUGACUUCCAGAACAUGAUUACCGUACCACUCUGGUGCGGAUCUUACUCUGGAAGACCUACGAGGUUUGGUAGUAACUUGAUCUGAAGUUUGAUGAUCAUCAUCAUUAACUUCCUCACUUAUUGGUGUAGGAAUCACUGGAACUGAUUUCUGUGAUGAACUACUUUCCAAUAAGGGAGAAGGUAUAAUUACCUCAUCAAGUUCUACUCUCCUCCCACUCACUUCUUUCGAGAGAAACUCCUUCUCUGGAAAGGAUCCAUUUUAGCAACGAAUGUCUUGCCUUCGGAUCUGUGAUAGAAGGUGUACCCAACAAUUUCCUUUGGGUAUUCUAUGAAGACGCACUUCUCCGAUUUAGGUUCGAGCUUAUCAGGAUGAAACUUUUUCACAUAAGCAUCGCAGCCCCAAACUUUAAGAAACAACAGCUUAGGUUUACUGCUAAACCAUAGUUCAUACAGUGUCGUCUCAACGGAUUUAGAUGGUGCCCUAUUUUAAAACGUGAAUGCAGCUGUCUCUAAUGCAUAACCCCAAAACGAUAGUGGUAAAGAGAUAUCAUAGAUCGCACCAUAUCAAAUAAAGUGCGGUUACGACGUUCGGACACACCAUAACGAUGUGGUGUUCCAGGUGGCGUGAGCUGUGAAACUAUUCCACAUUGUUUUAAUUGAAGACCAAACUCGUAACUCAAAUAUUUGUCUCCGCGAUCAGAUCGCAGAAACUUUAUUUUCCUGUUACGAUGAUUUUUCCACUUCACUCUGAAAUUCUUUGAACCUUUCAACUAUUUCAGACUUAUGUUUCAUCAAGUAGAUAUACCCAUAUCUGCUCAAAUCAUCUUGUGAAGGUCAGAAAACAACGAUGCUUGCCACGAGCAUCAGCACUCAUUGGAUCACAUACAUCGGUAUGUAUUAUUUCCAAUAAGUCAGUAGCUCGUUCCAUUGUUCCGGAGAACGGAGUUUUAGUCAUCUUGCCCAAAAGGCACAGUUCGCAAGCAUCAAGUGAUUCAUAAUCAAGUGAUUCCAAAAUUCCAUCAGUAUGGAGUUUCUUCAUGCGCUUUACACCAAUAUGACCUAAACGGCAGUGCUACAAACAAGUUGCACUUAUCAUUAUUAACUUUGCAUCUUUUGGUUUCAAUAUUAUGAUUAUGUGUAUCACUACGAUCGAGAUCCAACAAACUAUUUUCAUUGGGUGUGUAACCAUAUAAGGUUCUAUUCAUGUAAACAGAACAACAAUUUAUUCUCUUACUUAAAUGAAUAAUCGUAUUACAAUAAACAUGAUCAAAUCAUAUUCAUGCUCAACGCAAACACCAAAUAACACUUAUUUAGGUUCAACACUAAUCCCGAAAGUAUAGGGAGUGUGUGACGAUGAUCAUAUCAAUCUUGGAACCACUUCCAACACACAUCGUCAUUUCACCCUUAACUAGUCUCUGUUUAUUCUGCAACUCCCGUUUCGAGUUACUAAUCUUAGCAACUGAACUAGUAUCAAAUACUGAGGGUUUGCGAUAAACACUAGUAAAGUACACAUCAAUAACAUGUAUAUCAAAUAUACUUAUGUUCACUUUGCCAUCCUUCUUAUCCGCCAAUCACUUGGGGUAGAUCCGCUUCCAGUGACCAGUCCCUUUGCAGUAGAAACACUUAGUCUCAGGCUUAGGAUCAGACUUGGGCUUCUUCACUUGAGCAGCAACUUGCUUGCUGUUCUUCUUGAAGUUCCCCUUCUUCCUUCUGCCCCUUUUCUUGAAACUAGUGGUCUUGUCUACCAUCAACACUUGAUAUUUUUCUUGAUUUCUACCUUCGUCAAUUUCCGCAUUACGAAGAGCUUGGGAAUCGUUUCCGUUAUCCCUUGCAUGUCAUAGUUCAUCACGAAGUUCUACUAACUUGGUGAUGGUGACUAGAGAAUUCUGUCAAUCACUAUCUUAUCUGGAAGAUUAACUCCCACUUGAUUCAAGCGAUUGUAGUACUCAGACAAUCUGAGCACAUGCUCACUAGUUGAGCGAUUCUCCUCCAUCUUUUAGCUAUAGAACUUGUUGGAGACUUCAUAUCUCUCAACUCGGGUAUUUGCUUGAAAUAUUAGCUUCAACUCCUGGAACAUCUCAUAUGGUCCAUGACAUUCAAAACGUCUUUGAAGUCCCGAUUCUAAGCCGUUAAGCAUGGUGCACUUAAACUAUCAAGUAGUCAUCAUAUUGAGCUAGCCAAACGUUCAUAACGUCUGCAUUUGCUCCUGCAAUAGGUCCGUCACCUAGCGGUGCAUUAAGGACAUAAUUCUUCUGUGCAGCAAUGAGGAUUUAACCUCAGAUCACGGAUCAAAUCCGCAACAUUGCUACUAACAUUUUUCAACACAAUUUUCUCUAGGAACAUAUCAAAAUAAACACAGGGAAGCAACAACGCGAGCUAUUGAUCUACAACAUGAUUUGCAAAAUACUACCAGGACUAAGUUCAUGAUAAAUUUAAGUUCAAUUUAAUCAUAUUACUUAAGAACUCCCACUUAGAUAGACAUCCCUCUAAUCCUCUAAGUGAUCACGUGAUCCAAAUCAACUAAACCAUGUCCGAUCAUCACGUGAGAUGGAGUAGUUUCAUCGAUGAACAUCAUUAUGUUGAUCAUAUCUACUAUAUGAUUCACGCUCGACCUUUCGGUCUCCGUGUUCCGAGGCCAUAUCUGCAUAUGCUAGGCUCGUCAAGUUUAACCUGAGUAUUCUGCGUGUGCAAAACUGGCUUGUACCCGUUGUAGAUGGACGUAGAGCUUAUCACACCCGAUCAUCACGUGGUGUCUGGGCACGACGAACUUUGGAAACGGUGCAUACUCAGGGAGAACACUUCUUGAUAAUUUAGUGAGAGAUCAUCUUAUAAUGCUACCGUCAAUCAAAGCAAGAUAAGAUGCAUAAAAGGAUAAACAUCACAUGCAAUCAAUAUAAGUGAUAUGAUAUGGCCAUCAUCAUCUUGUGCUUGUGAUCUCCAUCUCCGAAGCACCGUCAUGAUCACCAUCGUCACCGGCGCGACACCUUGAUCUCCAUCGUAGCAUCGUUGUCGUCUCGCCAAUCUUAUGCUUCCACGACUAUCACUACCGUUUAGUAAUAAAGUAAAGCAUUACAUCGCGAUUGCAUUGCAUACAAUAAAGCGACAACCAUAUGGCUCCUGCCAGUUGCCGAUAACUCGGUUACAAAACAUGAUCAUCUCAUACAAUAAAAUUCAGCAUCAUGCCUUGACCAUAUCACAUCACAACAUGCCCUGCAAAAACAAGUUAGACGUCCUCUACUUUGUUGUUGCAUGUUUUACGUGGCUGCUACGGGCUUAAGUAAGAACCAAUCUCACCUACGCAUCAAAAACACAACGAUAGUUUGUCAAAUAGACUCCGUUUUAACCUUCUCAAGGACCGGGCAUAGCCAUACUUGGUUCAACUAAAGUUGGAGAGACAGUCGCCCGCAAGCCAUCUAUGUGCAAAGCACGUCGAGGGAACCGGUCUCGCGUAAGCGUACGCGUAAGGUUGGUCUGGGUCGUCUCGUCCAACAAUACCGCCGAACCAAAAUAUGACAUGCUGGUAGGCAGUAUGACUUGUAUCGUCCACAACUCACUUGUGUUCUACUCGUGCAUAUAACAUCAACAUCAAUAACCUAGGCUCGGAUGCCACUGUUGGGUUUCGUAGUAAUUUCAAAAAAUUUCCUACGCGCACACAGGAUCAUGUGAUGCAUAGCAACGAGAGGAGAGUGUUGUCUACGUACCCAACGCAGACCGACUGCGGAAGCGAUGACACGACGUAGAGGAAGUAGUCGUACGUCUUCACGAUCCAACCGAUCAAGCACCGAAACUACGGCACCUCCGAGUUCGAGCACACGUUCAGCUCGAUGACGAUCCCCGGACUCCGAUCCAGCAAAGUGUCGGGGAAGAGUUUCGUCAGCACGACGGCGUGGUGAUGAUCUUGAUGAACUACAGCAGCAGGGCUUCGCCUAAACUCCGCUACAGUAUUAUCGAGGAAUAUGGUGGCAGGGGGCACCGCGCACGGCUAAGGAAUCGAUCACGAGGAUCAACUUGUGUCAACUUGUGUGUUUAGAGGUGCCCCUGCCUCCGUAUAUAAAGGAGCCAAGGGGGAAGGGGGCGCCGGCCAAGAGGGAGAGGCGCAGGAGGAGUCCUACUCCUACCGGGAGUAGGACUCCCCCCCCCAAUCCUAUUCCAACUAGGAUUCCCAAGGGGGAAUGAGGGAGAGGGGUGGCCGGCCACCUCUCCUAGUCCUAAUAGGACUAGGGGAAGGGGGGAGGCGCGCAGCCCCCUUGGGCUGCCCCUUUCUCCUUUCCACUAAGGCCCAUGAUGGCCCAUAUGGCUCCCGGGGGGUUCCGGUAACCUCCCAGUAACCCGGUAAAAUCCCGAUUUCACCCGGAACACUUCCGAUGUCCAAACAUAGACUUCCAAUAUAUCAAUCUUUAUGUCUCGACCAUUUCGAGACUCCUCGUCAUGUCUGUGAUCACAUCCGGGACUCCGAACAACCUUCGGUACAUCAAAAUGCAUAAACUCAUAAUAUAACUGUCAUCGUAACCUUAAGCGUGCGGACCCUACGGGUUCGAGAACAAUGUAGACAUGACCGAGACACGUCUCUGGUCAAUAACCAAUAGCGGGACCUGGAUGCCCAUAUUGGCUCCUACAUAUUCUACGAAGAUCUUUAUCGGUCAGACCGCAUAACAACAUACGUUGUUCCCUUUGUCAUCGGUAUGUUACUUGCCCGAGAUUCGAUCGUCGGUAUUCAAUACCUAGUUCAAUCUCGUUACCGGCAAGUCUCUUUACUCGUUCCGUAAUACAUCAUCUCACAACUAACAUAUUAGUUGUAAUGCUUGCAAGGCUUAUGUGAUGUGUAUUACCGAGAGGGCCCAGAGAUACCUCUCCGACAAUCGGAGUGACAAAUCCUAAUCUCGAAAUACGCCAACCCAACAUCGACCAUUGGAGACACCUGUAGUACUCCUUUAUAAUCACCCAGUUACGUUGUGACGUUUGGUAGUACCCAAAGUGUUCCUCCGGUAAACGGGAGUUGCAUAAUCUCAUAGUCAUAGGAACAUGUAUAAGUCAUGAAGAAAGCAAUAGCAACAUACUAAACAAUCAGGUGCUAAGCUAAUGGAAUGGGUCAUGUCAAUCAGAUCAUUCAACUAAUGAUGUGACCUCGUUAAUCAAAUAACAACUCAUUGUUCAUGGUCAGGAAACAUAACCAUCUUUGAUUAACGAGCUAGUCAAGUAGAGGCAUACUAGUGACACUCUGUUUGUCUAUGUAUUCACACAUGUAUUAUGUUUCCGGUUAAUACAAUUCUAGCAUGAAUAAUAAACAUUUAUCAUGAUAUAAGGAAAUAAAUAAUAACUUUAUUAUUGCCUCUAGGGCAUAUUUCCUUCAGUCUCCCACUUGCACUAGAGUCAAUAAUCUAGUUCACAUCGCCAUGUGAUUUAACAGCAAUAGUUCACAUCACCAUGUGAUUAACACCCAUAGUUCACAUCGCUAUGUGACCAACACCCAAAGGGUUUACUAGAUUCAGUAAUCUAGUUCACAUCGCUAUGUGAUUAACACCCAAGGAGUACUAAGGUGUGAUCAUGUUUUGCUUGUGAGAGAAUCUUAGUCAACGGGUCUGCCACAUUCAGAUCCUCAUGUAUUUUGCAAAUUUCUAUGUCAACAGUGCUCUGCAUGGAGCUACUCUAGCUAAUUGCUCCCACUUUCAAUAUGUAUCUAGAUCGAGACUUAGAGUCAUCUAGAUUAGUGUCAAACUUGCAUCGGCGUAACCCUUUACGACGAACCUUUUUCCAUAAUCGAGAAACAUAUCCUUAUUCCACUAAGGACAAUUUUGACCGCUCUCCAGUGAUCUACUCCUAGAUCACUAUUGUACUCCCUUGCCAAACUCAGUGGUAUGGCAUACAAUAGAUCUGGUAUACAGCAUGGCAUACUUUAUAGAACCUAUGACUGAGGCAUAGGGAAUGACUUUCAUUCUAUUUUCUGCCGUGGUCGGGCUUUGAGUCUUACUCAACUUCACACCUUGCAACACAGGCAAGAACUCCUUCUUUGACUGUUCCAUUUUGAACUAUUUCAAAAAUUUAUCAAGGUAUGUAUUCAUUGAAAAAUCUUAUCAAGCGUCUUCAUCUAUCUAUAUAGAUCUUGAUGCUCAAUGUGUAAGCAGCUUCACCAAGGUCUUUCUUUGAAAAACUUUUAUUCAAGUAUCCUUUCAUGCUUUGCAGAAUAAUUCUACAUUAUUUCCGAUCAACAAUAUGUCAUUCACAUAUACUUAUCAGAAAUGUUGUAGUGCUCCCACUCACUUUCUUGUAAAUACAGGCUUCACCGUAAGUCUGUACAAAAACUAUAUGCUUUGAUCAACUUAUCAAAGCGUAUAUUCCAACUCCGAGAUUCUUGCACCAGUCCAUAAAUGGAUCGCUGGAGCUUGCACACUUUGUUAGCUCCCUUUGGAUCGACAAAACCUUCUGGUUGCAUCAUAUACAACUCUUCUUCCAGAAAUCCAUUCAGGAAUGCAGUUUUGACAUCCAUUUGCCAAAUUUCAUAAUCAUAAAAUGCGGCAAUUGCUAACAUGAUUCGGACGGACUUAAGCAUCGCUACGGGUGAGAAGGUCUCAUCGUAGUCAAUUCCUUGAACUUGUCGAAAACCUUUUGCGACAAGUCGAGCUUUGUAGACAGUAACAUUACCAUCAGCGUCAGUCUUCUUCUUAAAGAUCCAUUUAUUCUCAAUUGCUUGCCGAUCAUCGGGCAAGUCAACCAAAGUCCAUACUUUGUUCUCAUACAUGGAUCCCAUCUCAGAUUUCAUGGCUUCUAGCCACUUUGCGGAAUCUGGGCUCACCAUCGCUUCUUCAUAGUUCGUAGGUUCAUCAUGAUCUAGUAGCAUGACUUCCAGAACAGGAUUUCCGUACCACUCUGGCGCGGAUCUUACUCUGGUUGAUCUACGUGGUUCAGUAGUAUCUUGAUCUGAAGUUUCAUGAUCAUUAUCAUUGGCUUCCUCACUAACCGGUGUAGGUGUCACUGAAACAGUUUUCUGUGAUGAACUACUUUCCAGUAAGGGAGCAGGUACAGUUACCUCGUCAAGUUCUACUUUCCUCCCACUCACUUCUUUCGAGAGAAACUCCUUCUCUAGAAAUGAUCCAUUCUUAGCAACGAAUGUUUUGCCUUCGGAUCUGUGAUAGAAGGUGUACCCAACAGUUUCCUUUGGGUAUCCUAUGAAGACACAUUUCUCCGAUUUGGGUUCGAGCUUAUCAGUUUGAAGUUUUUUCACAUAAGCAUCGCAGCCCCAAACUUUAAGAAACGACAACUUUGGUUUCUUGCCAAACCACAGUUCAUAAGGCGUCGUGGCAGGGGGCAGGGGGCACCGCACACGGCUAAGGAAUUGAUCACGUGGAUCAACUUGUGUCAACUUGUGUGUUUAGAGGUGCCCCUGCCUCAGUAUAUAAAGGAGCCAAGGGGGGAGGGUGCGCCGGCCAGGAGGAGGAGGCGCAGGAGGAGUCCUACUCCUACCGGGAGUAGGACUCCCCUCCAAUCCUAUUCCAAUUAGGAUUCCCAAGGGGGAAAGAGGGAGAGGGGUGGCCGGCCACCUCUCCUAGUCCUAAUAGGACUAGGGGAAGGGGGGAGGCGCGCAGCCCCCUUGGGCUGCCCUUUUCUCCUUUCCACUAAGGCCCAUGAAGGCCCAUGUGGUUCCCGGGGGGUUCCGGUAACCUCCCGGUAACCCGGUAAAAUCCCGAUUUCACCCGGAACACUUCCGAUGUCCAAACAUAGGCUUCCAAUAUAUCAAUCUUUAUGUCUCGACCAUUUCGAGACUCCUCGUCAUGUCCGUGAUCACAUCCGGGACUCCGAACAACCUUCGGUACAUCAAAAUGCAUAAACUCAUAAUAUAACUGUCAUCGUAACCUUAAGCGUGCGGACCCUACGGGUUCGAGAACAAUGUAGACAUGACCGAGACAUGUCUCUGGUCAAUAACCAAUAGCGGGACCUGGAUGCCCAUAUUGGCUCCUACAUAUUCUACAAAGAUCUUUAUCGGUCAGACCGCAUAACAACAUACGUUGUUCCCUUUGUCAUCGGUAUGUUACUUGCCCGAGAUUCGAUCGUCGGUAUCCAAUACCUAGUUCAAUAUCGUUACCGGCAAGUCUCUUUACUCGUUCCGUAAUACAUCAUCUCACAACUAACAUAUUAGUUGUAAUGCUUGCAAGGCUUAUGUGAUGUGUAUUACCGAGAGGGCCCAGAGAUACCUCUCCGACAAUCGGAGUGACAAAUCCUAAUCUCGAAAUACGCCAACCCAACAUCGACCAUUGGAGACACCUGUAGUACUCCUUUAUAAUCACCCAGUUACGUUGUGACGUUUGGUAGUACCCAAAGUGUUCCUCCGGUAAACGGGAGUUGCAUAAUCUCAUAGUCAUAGGAACAUGUAUAAGUCAUGAAGAAAGCAAUAGCAACAUACUAAACGAUCAGGUGCUAAGCUAAUGGAAUGGGUCAUGUCAAUCAGAUCAUUCAACUAAUGAUGUGACCUCGUUAAUCAAAUAACAACUCAUUGUUCAUGGUCAGGAAACAUAACCAUCUUUGAUUAACGAGCUAGUCAAGUAGAGGCAUACUAGUGACACUCUGUUUGUCUAUGUAUUCACACAUGUAUUAUGUUUCCGGUUAAUACAAUUCUAGCAUGAAUAAUAAACAUUUAUCAUGAUAUAAGGAAAUAAAUAAUAACUUUAUUAUUGCCUCUAGGGCAUAUUUCCUUCACAAGCUGAGCAAAAUCAGAGGCACAAUUUUUUCCAUACCAAGGGAGUUGUGAAGGAACGUUCUGUGCGUGUCAUAAUAGACGGAGGGAGCUGCAACAACUUGGCUAGCAUGGAGAUGGUGGAGAAGCUUUCUCUCACCACAAGACCACAUCCACAUCCUUACUACAUCCAAUGGUUCAACAACAGCGGCAAGGUUAAGGUAACACAUACUGUUUGUGUGCAUUUUAGUAUCUCUACAUAUGCUGAUUAUGUUGAUUGUGAUGUGGUACCUAUGCAAGCAUGUUCCUUAUUACUUGGUAGACCAUGGCAAUUUGAUAAAAAUUCUGUACACCAUGGUAGAAACAAUCACUAUACUCUUGUUCAUAAGGAUAAAAAUAUUACUUUGCUUCCUAUGACUCCUGAUUCCAUUUUGAAAGAUGAUAUUAAUAGAGCUAAUAAAGCAAAACAGGAGAAGAAUAAGAGUGAAAAUCAGAUUGUGGCAAAAGAAUUUGAGCAACAAAUGAAGCCUAAUAAUAAACCAUCUAGUGUUGCUUCUGAAAUUAAAUUGAAAAGUGCAUGUUUAUUUGCCACCAAAUCUGAUAUUGAUGAGCUAGAUUUCAGCAAAUCUGUUUGCUAUGCUUUUGUGUGCAAAGAGGCAUUAUUUUCAUUCGAGGACGUGCCUUCCUCUUUGCCUCCUGCUAUCACUAACAUUUUGCAGGAGUUCGCUGACGUCUUUCCACAAGACGUGCCACCGGGAUUACCACCUAUUCGAGGGAUUGAGCAUCAAAUUGACUUAAUUCCCGGUGCUUCACUGCCAAACCGUGCGCCAUACCGUACCAAUCCAGAGGAGACGAAGGAGAUUAUGCGUAAAGUACAAGAGCUUCUCGACAAAGGUUAUAUACGCGAAUCCCUUAGUCCUUGUGUUGUUCCUAUUAUUCUAGUGCUGAAAAAGGAUGGUACAUCGCGUAUGUGUGUUGAUUGUAGAGACAUUAAUAAUAUUACUAUUCGUUAUUGUCAUCCUAUUCCUAGGCUAGAUGAUAUGCUUGAUGAAUUGAGUGGCUCUACAAUAUUCUCCAAAGUUGAUUUGCGUAGUGGAUACCAUCAAAUUCGUAUGAAAUUGGGGGAUGAAUGGAAAGCAACAUUUAAAACUAAGUUUGGAUUAUAUGAGUGGUUAGUCAUGCCUUUUGGGUUAACUAAUGCGCCUAGUACUUUCAUGAGACUAAUGAACGAAGUUUUACGUGCUUUCAUUGGACGAUUUGUGGUAGUCUAUUUUGAUGAUAUACUGAUUUAUAGCAGAUCUUUGGAAGAACAUUUGGAACAUUUACGUGCUGUUUUUAUUGCUCUAUGUGAUGCACGUUUGUUUGGUAACCUUGGGAAGUGCACCUUUUGCACCGACCGAGUAUCUUUUCUUGGCUAUGUUGUUACACCACAGGGAAUUGAAGUUGAUAAAGCCAAGAUUGAAGCUAUUGAGAGUUGGCCGCAGCCCAAAACGGUCACACAAGUGAGGAGUUUUCUUGGCCUCGCUGGAUUCUAUAGGCGUUUUGUGAGAGAUUUCAGCACCAUUGCUGCACCUCUCAAUGAGCUUACAAAGAAAGAUGUGCCUUUUCUUUGGGGUACCGCACAGGAAGAAGCCUUCUCGGUAUUGAAAGAUAAGUUGACACAUGCUCCUUUACUCCAACUUCCUGAUUUUAAUAAGACUUUUGAGCUUCAAUGUGAUGCUAGUGGAAUUGGAUUAGGAGGUGUGUUAUUACAAGAUGGCAAACCUGUUGCAUACUUUUCUGAAAAAUUGAGUGGGCCUAGUCUGAAUUAUUCUACUUAUGAUAAAGAAUUAUAUGCUCUUGUUCGGACUUUAGAAACAUGGCAACAUUAUUUAUGGCCCAAAGAAUUUGUUAUACAUUCUGAUCAUGAAUCUUUGAAACAUAUUAAAAGUCAAGUUAAACUGAAUCGUAGACAUGCUAAAUGGGUUGAAUUCAUUGAGACUUUCCCUUCUGUCAUUAAACACAAGAAGGGAAAAGAAAAUGUUAUUGCUGAUGCAUUGUCUCGUCGCUAUACUAUGCUUUCACAACUUGACUUCAAAAUAUUUGGUUUGGACACCAUCAAAGAUCAAUAUGUGCAUGAUGCUGAUUUUAAAGAUGUAAUGCAGAAUUGUAAAGAAGGAAGAAUGUGGAACAAGUUUGUCGUUAACGAUGGAUUUGUGUUUCGUGCUAACAAGCUAUGCAUUCCAGCUAGCUCCGUUCGUCUUUUGUUGUUGCAGGAGGCGCAUGGAGGAGGAUUAAUGGGACACUUUGGCGUGAAGAAGAUGGAGGACGUACUUGCUACACAUUUCUUUUGGCCAAAGAUGAGACGGGAUGUUGAGCGUUUUAUUGCUCGCUGCACUACAUGUCAAAAAGCUAAGUCACGACUCAAUCCUCAUGGUUUAUAUAUGCCUUUGCUGUACCUAGUGUUCCUUGGGAGGAUAUAUCUAUGGACUUUGUUUUAGGUUUACCUCGAACAAAGAAGGGGAGGGAUAGCAUAUUUGUUGUCGUGGAUAGAUUCUCGAAAAUGGCACACUUUAUACCAUGUCAUAAAAGCGAUGAUGCUGUUAAUGUUGCUGAUUUGUUCUUUCAUGAAAUUAUUCGCUUGCAUGGUGUGCCAAAUACUAUUGUUUCAGAUCGUGAUACUAAAUUUCUUAGCCACUUUUGGAGAUGUUUAUGGGCUAAGUUGGGGACUAAACUGCUUUUUAGUACUACUUGUCACCCCCAAACUGAUGGCCAAACUGAAGUAGUCAAUAGAACAUUGUCUACUAUGCUUAGGGCUGUUUUGAAGAGUAAUAAGAAAAUGUGGGAGGAAUGCUUGCCUCAUAUUGAAUUUGCUUAUAAUCGUUCAUUGCAUUCUACUACUAAGAUGUGCCCUUUUGAAGUUGUGUAUGGUUUCCUACCUCGUGCACCUAUUGAUUUGUUGCCUCUUCCAUCUUCGGAGAAGGUUAAUUUUGAUGCUAAACAACGUGCUGAAUUGAUUUUAAAAAUGCAUGAGUUAACUAAGGAAAACAUUGAGCAUAUGAAUGCCAAAUAUAAACUUGCUGGAGAUAAAGGUAGAAAACAUGUUGUGUUUGCACCUGGAGAUCUUGUUUGGUUACAUUUGCGUAAGGAUAGAUUUCCUGAUUUGCGCAAAUCAAAGCUCAUGCCACGGGCUGAUGGUCCCUUUAAGGUGUUAGAGAAAAUAAAUGAUAAUGCAUAUAAACUUGAGCUGCCUGCAAAUUUUGGGGUUAGUCCCACUUUUAACAUUGCAGAUUUGAAGCCUUAUUUGGGUGAGGAAGAUGAGCUUCCGUCGAGGACGACUUCAUUGCAAGAAGGGGAGGAUGAUGAGGACAUCAAUACCAUUGUUACACCCACAGCCCCUGCUGCUAUACAUACUGGACCAAUUACUAGAGCUUGCGCACGCCAACUAAAUUACCAGGUACUUUCGUUUCUUGGUAAUGAUUCUAAUGUUCAUGAGAAUAUGAUGCUACCUAAAUUGGAUACAUUUGUUUUGCUUACAAAUGAAGGGCCUAGCUUGGAGAAGGAUGAACAUUGGAGCAAGAACAAGCAUGGAGAUGAUGGCAUGCGCAAGGGGAAGAAGAACAGAGUUACAAGUGAUGAUUUCGGGUCUUUGAAGCCACCAUAACGAGUGCAUGAAGCCUUGGACGAAAUAUACAAGAUGUCACUUCAUAAAUUUCAUCCAAAGGCUAUUAUAGGUGCUGCGUCACCUUUUUAUUGGGCCAGGCCCAUGUAAUUUCGAAAUACACAAGUAUAGGCUAUUUUUAGAGUCCGUAUGUAUGGGGAAACAAGAGAUAGGGUUGAUUUCGGACCCCUCCACCAAGGGCCACGAAAUUCCCCCUCUCUUCCUCCAUAUAUACAGCCCUUAGGGCACCGUUUAGACUUUGGGUUUUGUUUAGAUUAAAGUUCGCCAUAGCUGCAACUUCGCGUACUUCGUUUGUGUUCAACGACCAGACAAAGGCGUCACAGAACCCCACCUUGAUCAAUAAAGCUUUCAUCUUAUAUUCGCAAUAUCCAGAUUGCAAUCUUAGUUUCUUGCUUGUUCUUCGUUUGCUCGCAGGAAACAGACCCUCGUGGUCAGGUUGAUCGUGCUCCGGCGUGGUCAAUAACCUCUCGGAGUUGGUUUAGCGAUUGCUAAGGCGCGACGUCCUCGCACGUUCGUAGUCGGAUCGUCAAAGUCGACUUCCACCAAAGCGAUAUCCAUCAUCUCAUCGAAAGACGGGACACCUUUGCCUUUAACAGUUUUGGAAGGAGCUGAGCUUGGUAUUGGGUGCGAGGGUGGAGACCCCACCUCAUUUGGUGUGCACUCAGAGUUCAGUCGCAUCAUGGUUGCUACAGUGGCUGUCAGAUGCUUCGGAGGACGAGAAGGCAGUGAUGGUGCAAGGGUUAUAUGCUAUAUGGUUGGCUAGGAAUGACACUAGGGAAGGGAAAAGAAUUGAGGAGGCCAACUUGAUGGCAAAGAGAGUUGCAGCGCUCAUGGAAGAAUGGAAGAAUGUGCGGGGGCGGCCGCAGCGAUCGACUUCACCUACUCAGCGUGCAAGAUGGGAACCACCGGCGUCGGGUUGGCUUAAGGCCAAUGUCGAUGGUGCUAUGUCUCGGUCGAGGCAAGGAGGAGGGGGGCUGGAGUGGUGUUCAGAGAUGAAGAUGGAGCAUUCUGAGGUGCGGAUGCGGUAUUUCUACCUGAGAUCACAUUGGCAGAAGUGGCUGAACUGCAAGCAUGCAAGAGGGCGGUGGCACUAGCUCUGCAAAGAGGUGUGCCCAAACUCCAUCUGGAGACUGACUGUCAGAACGUGGCCAAAAUGUUGAAGGGGCAAGAUCAAAAUCUGUCAUCCUUAGGCAUCACGGUGGAAUAAAUCAAGGGGAUGGCCAAAAACUUGGGGGAAUUCAAAACUACGUGGGUGAAGAGGGAGGCAAAUAAUGCGGCGUAUGAGAUUGCCCGGUUCAAUUUUUGUAAUAGCGUUUCGGUUUCAUGGGAGAUUUCUCCCCCAGAUUGUAUUCUUAGUAUUGUGUCUGAUGAACUUCCUGGUUUAGCUUAAUAAAGUGCGGAAGUGAUUUUCAAAAAAAAAAUAACCUACCUCUUACAUGACCUUACCAUAACAGAUUAUACUACUAUCACUACAAAAAAGACACAUCCGUGACAUUUUGGGCCGAACGAAUUUUUUUCUGUCAUACAUAUGACACUUCUAUGACGAUAAUUGUGACAAAACCCGGUAUCAUCAUAGAUGUGGUGGGCUCCUACUUCUAUGACAAAAAAUCAUGACAGAAAAUGGGAUUUUCAUCCUAGGCGGACCGAAGAUGUAGCUGCAUAAUAUUCUUUGGGCCGUCCAUGACGGAAAAAACCGUGGUAGAAGCGAGGGCGAGGAAAAUUUCGGGGAGUUCCCGGUUACGGUGGGUGGUCGGGGGCCGAGUGAUGCACGUUUCUCUCGUACAGGUACACGCGUGUGUGCGAGGCGUUGGCUCUAACUGAACCCGAGCAAGGCGUUGGGCUCUAACUGAACCCGCGCGAUUGCACUGUAGGCUACACGUUACUGAACCCGAGCGAUUGAUCGAUGGCUGUUAACUGAACCCGAUCGAGCGAUUCCUUCGCUACUGCUGCUAACUGAAGCCGAUUGAUUGGAUGAACAGUGAGUGUUGNNNNNNNNNNNNNNNNNNNNNNNNNNNNNNNNNNNNNNNNNNNNNNNNNNNNNNNNNGUGGAGGGCUGGAUGAAGAGUAGACGGUGGAGGUUGUUCGUGGAGGGGUGGUUGAACAGUAGCCGGUGGAGUAGCGCGCGGUGGAGGCUGGAUGAACAGGAGCCCGUGGAGGCUGGAGGAGUUCGACGGUGGAGAUGAACAGUAUCCCAUGGAGUCCUGUUUUGCGGUACGCCACACCCCUCCCGAUGAACAGGACCCCCGUUUCGACUAUAGCGCUCCAACACAAGUCCGUUUCGUCCGUUUUACGGUACGCCACACCCCUCCCGAUCAACAGGACCCCCGUUUCGACCGUAGGAGGUCCGUUUCAUCCGUUUUGUGGUAUGCCACACCCCUCCCGAUCAACAGGACCCCCGUUUCGACCGUAGGAGGUCCGUUUCCUCCAUUUUGCGGUGCGCCACACCCUUCCUGUCGUGGAAUUGUCACGUCAGAUGUCCUUAGUGCCAGGACUUAGUCGCGAGGCCAACGCAUCUAUGUGGUAGCUUGAGAGGGGUUGAGUGGAAUCGAGAGACGCAGCACAAGACAGGGAUUUAGACAGCUUCGGGCCCUGGGAAACAUCAUCCGGUAAAAACCCUACAUGCUGUUUGAGGCUAGGUCUCAUUAUCAUCACGAGGGAGUCGUCGUAAACCGGCUCUCCUCUUUGUGUCUAGCCCUAGAGAUUAUUGAUUGUUGUCUGUCCCUCUUUGGGGAGCCCUGCCCCUCCUUAUAUAUGUUGAAGGGGCGAGUUACAUGUGGAGUCCUAUUAGGAUUAGGACUAGUCUAUCUCUAAUACAAACCGGAUACAAGUCCGGGUCUUCCUUGUAAGACAAAUAUUCCUUUCCUCUUGAACCGGCCCACAAUGGUUGAACCGGCCUUCAUGAACCGCCAGACAGGCCGCCGGGUCUUGUUGCUCCUCUGGCCCGCCUGCCGGAUUACCAAUGAACUGUAAACCGUCUGGUCUGUGCAGGUCACCGGUGAAUCACCAAGUCCGGCCGGAUUAUCCUUCCGGCCGGUUUACACCGCGGGGUAUAUCCCCGACAUUAGCCCCCAGUUUAAUUUGGAUUCAUCCAUGUUAAACUGAUCUGCAACAUAAACACAAGAACAAAUUCGUCGGGUUGUGCUCCGGUUUAAAUAUUCUUGUAGAUCGGCACUUGAUCAUCCUUAAAUCCUUGUCAUUUCUUCCUUCCAAGUUAAUAAUCAUCUUCAUAAUCAAUUUGCUUGCAGAAGAUAUUUGUAAAUAAAGAAUCCAUUUGAAUCGGCCUUCAAUGCUUUGACUUGACAAAAAUAUUAGUCUCUGAAAUAUUCAACUGAUAUCCAACCGGCUUGAAGAUGUAAAACUUGCUGGUUUAUGAUUACCACUAUUGUCUGGUUAUAAAACUGAUAAUUUCGGGUCAUGAUUGUUGCUAACACCGGUUCAUGAUUGUUGCUAAUGCCGGUUCAUGAUUAUUGAUGACGCCGGGUCAUAAUGAUUGGUGACGCCGGGUUAAUCCAGUUUGUUGAAAACAGAGAAUUUGAAAAUAGUUCUUCGAUAAUAAUAUAAUACCUGUAGCCCCCAAGUCUUGAGCAGAACAAAGUGAUGGCUUAAGACUUGCUUCAAUAUAAAUACUGCCACUUAAGAAGAAAUCCAUGUUGUUCAUCCCAGUGACUAGUAAAAUUGAAUACUCCAUAUUAUGUAGCCCCCAAGUGCCGGGUUGUCAUGCUUGCAGCAACCUGGGACUUUGUAAUUGUCUUAUACUCAUAAAAACUUUAACCAGUGUAGCCCCCAAGGGUCGGGUCAUUAUGCAAUAAUGAGCAGGGACUUUGUAGGUAUAAUCAUGUAGAUUUGAGCAAUGAUGUGUAGCCCCCAAGGGCCGACUCAUUAUAAUGUGAUGAGUCGGGUCUUCAAUAAUAUGAGUAGAAAAUUACUUUGCAUUAGCCCCCAAUUGUCAUGGUGCAUGCUUGCAGCGACAUGAGACUUGCAUGUAAUCUCAAUUUGACUAAUGUAGCCCCCAAGUGCCGGGUCGUGAGCCUACAGCGACUCGGGACUAUUCCUUCCAUUGUAGAAUAAAUCAUAUCCUUUGAUAAAAUAAUAACUAUUGCGCUAAAGCGACUUUGACAACUCAAUAAUACCGGUUACUAAUAACCAUAAAAAUCCAGCCAUGUUGGCUAUUCAAGAUAAUAUAAUCCGGUAUGAAAAAUUCAUCCAAUAUCAUAAUGAAAAUUCAACCAAAUUUGGCUAUUUGAAUAAUAUAACCCAAUCAUUUAUAAGCGCAUGAUUCCAAUAGCGCAAUCCAAAUAUAUACUGGCGACGUAUAGUCCAAAACCAGGCCGGUUUAAUAAACUCCGGAUAAUUUCCCAUCAUAUACUGGUGACUUAUCGUCUUAAAACCAGGCCGGUUUAAUAAACACCGGAUAAUUUAUCAUCAUGCUUUAUUCAACCUGUCUCUGCAUACAACAAGUUUAAAGUGUCCUGGCGGUUUACCGCCGGACAGGUCAUAAUGCCCAACAUAUAACCCAGGUUUAUAACCAAGGCUGCACUUAAGAAUAAUCAAUGAAAUAUAUCAUACCUGUGAUAUUGAAUCACAUCAUUGGUUUACCAAUUUUUUGUAGUAAGAGUAAUAACCCCAAUCUUGAAUAAUGAUAACUCCUUUCAUACUGUGCCGGUUGAUGACAAAACAGUACCGGGUUGUGAUAAACACCGGUUUAACCAUAUAUAAUACUGGCGACUCGUAGUCAAACCAGACCGGGCUGAUAGUCUCCGGAUUAUAACUUGAUCCUGUAUUGACAACUUGUAAUUGAAAGUCAAGCCGGGUUAAUGAACACCGGUUUACUCCAUAAUAGGAUGAUAAUAGAAAAUCAAACCGGGCAGAUGGCCCCCGGAUUAAAGGGGAAUCAAAUUCAUCGGCUGAAUCGGAAAAAGGGGUUUGUCGACAUAAAAGAAAUCCGACAAAAGCAAAGAAAAAACAAACCAUGAAAAUAACAUGGAAGCAAAGGCAAUGAUAAAAAACCAUUUGCAAAAAUAUGCUAUACUGAGCUGUUCAGAUGGCAUUACCAUGGUCGGACAGGAUCAAGGCCCCCAAUAGGAGCGACAAUGAUUCAAGUCAGCCAGGUCCCCAAAUGACUCGUGGCAUAUAUGCCAGAUCAAGAGGCGUGGCAAUGGUUCGGGCCCGACCAUGCCCCCAAGUGAUUUUGUGGCCUUAGGCCGACCAAGAGGCGUGACUGGUUCAGACUUGACCAAGUCCCCAAAUGAUCUGGUGGCUGUCGCCUAUCAAAGGGUGUUCGUUGGUUCGGACACGACCAAGGCCCCCAGUGAUAUAUAAAAGACAAAUAUCAAGGGGUAAACCGGAGGCUGCUUUUAAACAGAAUCACUCCGUGUAACCUCGCAUGAUGAGAAAGACAGAGACCCCGCUUUAUGAAGUAGAAGCCCCCAUGUGAUCAAUAAUAUGUUAGGCCAAUAAGGCAGGAUACCCAUGUUUGAAUCGCGCAUCAUGGCAGCAGGUCCUCUUCGGUAAUUUUUAACCUUUUUGCAAGAGAUAAAUUCUUCUUGAACCGGGAUCUUGAACCGGAUAUUGAGAGCUUCAAAGCUUUGUGGGAGACAUCUUCCCCUUGAGCCGGAUAUUAAACCAGAAUCCUUCUUUUUAAGCCGGAAAUUUUCUAACGGCCUUUAAAUUUGCACCAAUAUGAUGGUUUAGGGUCCUGCAUUAGACAACUUUGCAAACCGGAGUAAUUGCUGUUUUUAAAGAACGCAAUAUAUAAUAUAAAAUAUAUUGGAUGGAUUUCACCUGAUAUAUCAUGCCAGGGGUUAUCCACCGUGGAGUUGACGAUCACCAUGGUGAAGCUGAAAUUAAUCACGGCCGAGUCGGCCAUGACGUGGUAAACCGGUUCGGUCGGGCGAGUCAAACGCAGGCACGGUCCCGCAAAGUUGAUGUAAACCGGGCCGUAAGGACGGCGUCUUGCACGUGUCCAUUCACCGUGUAAUGUGGCACGGACGAACACCGGGCAGGACGUUGCUAGCGCGUGCUUCGUACCCAUGGUAUAAGCCACGUUUAUAAUGAAUAAUUGUCCUGCAUACAAUAUUGCAGACCAAGGCAAAGAUAAACUGCUCUUUGACAAAAAUAAUAUGCACUAAUAAAAUAUAUAUUUAGAUAGAUUUCACCUGAUGUGCUAGGCCGGAAAUAAUCGGCCGUGAAGUUGAUGAUCGCUAUGUGAAGUUGGAAAUCGCUCACGGGUGAACCGGCCGCGGCGUGGUAAACCGGUGCAGACGGGAGAAUCAGCCACAAUGUUUGUAAGCCAGCGCGAACGCGUGAACCGACCGCAAGGUCGGACGGGCGAGUUGUCCGUGGCGUUAGUAAGGCGGUGCGGACGGGCGAGUCGGCCGCCGCGUUGAUGUAAACCGAACAGCGGGAGCCACGACUUGCAAGCGUAUCCGUCGAGCAACAUGACACGGACGGACUCCAGUGCAGAGUUAUGCUGGUGCGCGCUCCAUAUCCGUUGUAUAACACCUUUGUCCUGAUUUAUUUUUCGGAUGAACGCGGAUACCAAUACUGGAUAAUGUUGGAUGUAUUCUGAUGCAGCCUUUAGUAUUUACACAGAACCAACAAAGUGCCAGAUAUAACAACGGUCGGAGGGGUGACUUGAAAGUGACACCGCAGUAGCGGCCCGAACGCACGGUAGCGGCCAAAACCGCAGUUUUUUUUUCAAACUUGGGCAGGCCAUGACCCACUCUGCCUUUGUAGAAACUCCGCUAGUAAGGAGGAUCGUUCUGUCCACGCCGGAGACCGGCAGGUCAAGCUGGUCCUCAAACGCCACCCACGGUGGAUUCUGCCGAAAAAAUCUUCUUGUCCUAUUCUCUAUUACUUCCAUCUCCAGUAGAUUUGACUGAUGUACUGAGCUAAAGCAGCCGGCCAUCGAAUAAAAUAGCAACCGGUCCCGCUUGAUGCAAAGAGGCUUUUAGGGGAGUAGUACUAGUUGCUGGUUUGAUAAAAGCAAUGAUUAAAAAACGAGUCUGGACCUUGCUGCAUAGAUUAUUCCUUUUCAAAAUCUGAGUCUUCAUGUGGACUGAUCUGACACGACGUCCAGCGGUUUGCAGCACAACUCCGGUCGAUCUCGGCAACACGCAACUGUGGCAGCAAAAAAGUGAUCUUUCAUCUGGAUUCGACGUGUCGCCCAAACGCGUGCUCUCUGUAACUUGACGUGCUGUUCGCAACCAAAAAAUUGUAACUUGACGUGACUUAGCUUCACGUGAAGGCCCUUGGGACUUGAAACAGCAGCAGCGACUGAUUUUCUCAAAACAGCAAACAGGACACUGCGUACUUCGGGGCUUCGAGCGUAUAUAUGCAGCAGCGGCAACUUGCGGAUCGAUAUGACGCGGCAUACGGCGGCUCCGCGGAAAUCCUGUCGGCUUCCUUCAUCAAUCUGGCUUCGGCUCGUCAGGCCGCGUCGGGCGAUGAUGCACAGGAUACCGAACCCUAACUUCUCUCGUCUCAAACUUGUAUAUGCCGCCGCUGAAAAACUUUUUCAAUCUUUGACCAAUGAACUUCAUAGUUGAUGUGAAUUCUUCCAAACCGGCUCCUGUUCAUCCGGAAACUUGUGUACUUCUCAAAACCCGAGAUGAGAUCCCUCGAAGAACUCAACACCACCAUGCGCAGGCCCCACGGUGGGUGCCAACUGUCGUGGAAUUGUCACGUCAGAUGUCCUUAGUGCCAGGACUUAGUCGCGAGGCCAACGCAUCUAUGUGGUAGCUUGAGAGGGGUUGAGUGGAAUCGAGAGACGCAGCACAAGACAGGGAUUUAGACAGCUUCGGGCCCCGGGAAACAUCAUCCGGUAAAAACCCUACAUGCUGUUUGAGGCUAGGUCUCAUUAUCAUCACGAGGGAGUUGCCGUAAACCGGCUCUCCUCUUUGUGUCUAGCCCUAGAGAUUAUUGAUUGUUGUCUGUCCCUCUUUGGGGAGCCCUGCCCCUCCUUAUAUAUGUUGAAGGGGCGAGUUACAUGUGGAGUCCUAUUAGGAUUAGGACUAGUCUAUCUCUAAUACAAACCGGAUACAAGUCCGGGUCUUCCUUGUAAGACAAAUAUUCCUUUCCUCUUGAACCGGCCCACAAUGGUUGAACCGACCUUCAUGAACCGCCAGACAGGCCGCCGGGUCUUGUUGCUCCUCUGGCCCGCCUGCCGGAUUACCAAUGAACUGUAAACCGUCUGGUCUGUGCAGGUCACCGGUGAAUCGCCAAGUCCGGCCGGAUUAUCCUUCCGGCCGGUUUACACUGCGGGGUAUAUCCCCGACACUUCCCGAUCAACAUGACCCCCGUUUCGACCGUAGGAGGUCCAUUUCCUCUGUUUUGCGGUACGCCACACCCCUCUUGAUCAACAGGACCCCGUUCCGAACGUAGGAGGUCCAUUUCCUCCAUUCUGCGUUACGCCAGGCCUCGUUUCCAUCGCCUGUUCCAUCCAAGCCCUCUCGAUGAACACGACCACGCAUUCCAUUCUGACCCAGCCGGUUGGCUCCCCAUGAACACGACGACGACACUGUUUCUCCGUUCCGACCCAGCCAUGUACGUAUGCACGAGUAGGCGUUCGAGACCCUGCCCGUAUGUACGUACGUGGCCGUAUUUUCUUUCUUGCACCCUGGCCACUAUACGUACGUGUACAUGCUACGUGCGCGCCUCUACUACGACACGUGCGCGCCUCUACUACGACACGUGCGCGCCUCUACAUCGACUAGUAUAUAUUUACAUACACGUUCGCGACCAGAAUGACAACGCUACGUACGCUUCAACCAGGUGGGUCCCGACUGUGAGGCACUUCCUUGCGUGCGAAGAUGUAGCUGGUGGGUCCCAGCAGUCAAGGGGGCGAAUCGUUUUUUUUGCCCGGACGCACUUCCUUGCGUGCAAAGAUGUAGCUGGUGGGUCCCAACAGUAAGGAGGAAACAUUUUUUUCAUGAAAUACGGUGGCCCGUCUGGUGGGUCCCUGUUGUCAGGUGGAGGGAUAAUUAUUUUCCGCGUAAUAAGGAGGCACUUCCUUGCUGCGACCGUGGACCCAGCUGUCAGCCUCUCCACGUACAGUCCAUGUCCGAUGGAAGUCGUUCCUUGACCAUGUUGACCACGCCGCGCCGAGAGCACCAGGGCGGUGGACGACGGCGAGGCCUAGGAAGGGGACGACGGGGAGCCGGGGAAGACGCGGCAGUGGAAGCCUGCGCGGAGAGGAGUACAAGGGUUCACUAGUUCGUCUGCGGUGUGAGGCUGCCGUUGCCGCAGGGCCUGGCCAGCGGUGGGAAUAGUAGGGGUGAGGCCUCCGUGGCAGCACAUCCGGCCACGGGAGGCAGGAGCAUGCGACACGACCAGCGCUGCUUUGGGCGGCUGGAGCAAGAAGACCAGAGGUUGAAGAAGCACUACAGCCGUUGGAUGGACUUCGUACGGUCACUGGAGCUAGAAUCGUUUAUAUUGACUAAGUUGACAAAGCCCUCCAUCCCCUCAACUUAGUAGGCCCACAAGUCAGCCUCCGGUGGGUCCCAGCUAGCAGUGGGGUAUUCAUUUUUUUGUGCAUAAUAAGGAGGCACUUCCGGUGGGUCCGAGAUGACAGCAGGGGGAAACUUUUUUCACGAAGUACGGUGGCCCGUCGGGUGGGUCCCAGCAGUCAGGGGCAAACAUUUUUUUCGUGAAAUACUGGUGGCCCGUCCGGUGGGUCCCUGCUGUCAGGUGGAGGAAUAAUUAUUUUCCGCGUAAUAAGGAGGCACUUCCUUGCGGCUGCCGUGGAGCCAGUUGUCUGUCUCUCCACGUAUAGUAUUCUUCCGAUGGAAUUCGGUCGUUGACCACAUUGACCACGCCACGCUGAGAGCACCACGGCGGUGGACGACAGCGAGGCCUAGGAAGGGGACGACAUGGAGCCGGGGAAGACGCGGUAGUGGAUGCCCAUGCGGAGAGGAGUACGAGGGUUCACUGGUUCGGCUGCGGUGUCGUCGCCGUAGAAUAACAGGGGGUGUGGGUGAGUGGAGUGGAGGGAUGGCCUGGCCAGCGGUGGGAGUAGUAUGGGGGCGGUGAGGCCUCCGCGGCAGCAUAGCCGACCACGGGAAGCAGGAGCAGGCGGCAUGACCAGUGCUGCUUUGGGCGGCUGGAGCAACAAUACCAGAGGUUGAAGAAGCACUAUGGCCAUUGGAUGGACAUCGUACGGUCAGUCGAGGUAGAAUCGUGCAUAUUGACUAAGUUAACAAAGCCCUUCGUCCCCGUCAACUUAGUAGGCCCACUAUACUGGGUCCCAGCUAGCAGGGGGAGUAUUCAUUUUUUUUGUGCGUAAUAAGGAGGCACUUCCUUGCGUGCGAAGAUAUAGCUGGUGGGUCCAAGCUGUCAGCGGCGGUAACAUUUUUUCGCAAAAUAUAGAGGCCCUUUCGGUGGGUCCCAGAUGUCAGGUGGAGGAAUCAUUAUUUUGCGCGUAAUAAGGAGGCAUUUCCUUGCGUGCGGCUGUGGACCUAGCUGUCAGCCUCUCCACGUACAGUCCACUUUACAUGCAUGUCGGUCGUUGAGCACGUUGACCACGCCACGCUGAGGGCACCAGGGCGGUGGACGACGGUGAGGCCUAGGAAGUGAAUGACACGGAAGCAGG